rnacentral:lncRNA from 1 species
AUCAAUGAGACCAAUCAGAUUAUACCGACAAAAAAUUGGAGCAGAGAGAGCACUCCAGGUUAAGUAAUUGGUGGUGGUGAGCUUGAUCGGCACCAUGGAUCCAAUGUUUUGGAUCGUAAUGGAGGAAGAAACGAAAGAAUUAGGGUUUAAAGGUACAUUCGGAGAAACCGAUUCCGACGAAGGAGAUGCAGAGGUCGCCAUUGAUAGAUAACGAUGAAGGAGGAUCGAAGAACACAAACGAUGAUCAAGAAAUUAGAGACGAAGAUCGUGCUGCGACCAAGAAUCAGAGAAGAUCGCAUAAGGAAGCGCGACGGUUGGGAUCGAAGAAAGAGGAGUCGUGAGACAGAAAGCUGGGUGAUACCAUAUUAGGAAAAAUAUGAUUUCAUUUCAUGAAAAAUAAAAUUACACUUUGGGUAUUUAUAUACAAGUAUAUUGUAACCACUAGACAAGCAAAAUGUAACAAUCUAAUAGAAAACUUAACCACUAAGUAAUAUCUCUAGAUAGUGUAGUUACAAUAUUAUCCUUUAUACUCAGCUCACAGGUAUCAAACUUUCAACAGAAAUAUCUGAUUUGAUGAUGAUUUUGGGAAAUGGUUUCCUCACAAACCUGUUUAUUUCCAUCUCUUGAUUCUCCUUUGAUUUAUUUAAUCCAAAGACUAGAAAUAAAGAUGGGAGUCCAGGGGGAGAAUAUGAGUUUGCGGAAAUCACAUCCCAUGUUUACUUCUAGCUACUAACUUUUCUCUCAACUCAUUUGUAAAAGUCAUUGUAGCCGCAACAACCCAACAUAGAAUUCGGAAGUCUGAUGAACAAGAUGGUCACUCACGAACGUAAACUAGCGGUGCAGAAGACGAAGGUUUACAGGUCCUACUUGAAACUGAAUGAGAUUGAAAAGUACAUUGCCUACAUGGAAUGGUACAAGAAGUCGUCCAAAGAAAUGGGAAUUGGAUACUAUGACAGGUACAGAAACAAGCACUACAACAAAACAUUAUAUUUACCACGACAAUUUUAUCAUGGACUUUAGAAGCUCAUGGUAGAAAGGAAGCAAUUAUCACGGUCAAAGUCGGCCCGUGGUAAAUAUGAUUAAUUCAUCGUGGUUAUAUUCACGUCCGUUUUCUUUUAAGCAUUACGCGAGUGACAUUAUGGCCGAAGAGUACAAGAGGACGCUCUCAAGGUAUUGGCAUGACACGGUUGCAGAAGCUGGGAACAAGCGAGUAAUCCAGAUGCUAAGCCAAUGACCGAAUUUGAGCUUUACGUUCUGAAUAUGCUCGAGAAUUUCGCAGUUACGGUAGAUAUUUUCUUGGAGAAUAGUAGCUUCAUGCAUUGGUGGAACAAGUAUAAAGUAAUUGUGGGAAGCAACUACUCCUCAGCAUUUACCGAGGUCAUGAAGCGUAAGACAUAUCGCAAAUAUGCGGAUUGGGUCUCAAUUCGUACUGAUCAAUAAUCCAAGAUAAUUAAGUUUUAAGCAAGCAAUUAAAUCAGAUAAAGCAAGAUUAAUUUUGUUGUAUUGCUUAUGAUCUUCAUAGAGAGACGUGCAUUACUUUUUUUUAUUAUUUAUUUAAUUCUUUUUUUUGGAAAACCUCAACGGUACGAGAGGAAUUUUAUUGAUAACGAAAAAACAAGUUACACCUAGUCAGCGGGGACAUAAACCUUACCCCUAAAAAACAGAGACAACGAAAAGGAAUACACUAGAAAGAAGGGGGGAUAUAAAUCUUACCCUUCUAGAAACAAAAAACGAGAAUGAUACAAAUAAAAGAGGGGGGAACAUGAAACCUAACAUCUCUAGAACCAAACAUGAAGGUCUAAACCUGCAAAACAAGUUAAACAACACCAUAAAGAUAGGAGAAAAAAAAAGAAAGUGAGGCAAACCUAGAUGCCGACAUGCACAUUAAUUUGAGAAGCGGUAACCAGUCAAGUCAACAUAGUCAGAAAACAAAGCAGCACGAACUGCCAUCGAAGGAGAAUCAUGUCAUGUUAAAGAUGGAGAAGAAAAGCCCAUGUUCGCAAAAUUAUCCACAACAAGAUUUCCUUCGCGAUAUAUGUGAGGUGCGUAGAAAGUCAUUUUCCGAAUGCGAUCCAAACAAAUAGACCAUUGCUUAUUAAGAGGCCAAGGAGGAUCAAAAUUAGACGAUUGAUGAGCAAAAAUAACACUAGAACUAUCACUUUCCAACCAAAGACAAUGCCAACCCCGCUGAUAAGAAAACUCAAUACCAAUAAUAAUUGCUGAUAACUCUACAAAAAAAGAGUUGCAAUGACCAAUCCGUUGACAGAAACCUCCAAGAAAACGACCAUGGCAAUUCCUGAAAACUCCUCCACAUGCAGCAGGACCAGGAUUUCCUUUAGACAAACCAUCUUAAAUUUUGUGGUUUUCAACAUUUAGUACAUAAAGUUAUUUUUGUCCCCGAGUUAUACUAAAGUGUUAAUUUUGGGAUAGUCUCAUACAUUCGUUAGUAUAGCUGUUAAGUCUCCCGUUAAUUGAUGAUGUGAUGCUUAUGUGAACAAUAACUGGACGCCAUGUGUCAUUAAAAGGUCUACGUGGAAAUUCAAAAAAAAAAAAAAAUCGAAAUUUCAAAAUUCAAAAUUUAAAAACUUCAAAAAUUAAUAAAUUAAAAAAAAGGUGGGGAUAAUUUCUUCCUCUCUCACCGUCCUUUUUUCUCUCUUCUGCAAUUAUUGAGCUCUCUUUUGAAUCUCAGAUCCCCAGCAACCCUUGCCCUAGCGACCUUGUAACCCUCAGAAAAGGUUUGCAAACCUCGUAACCAUCGCCCUUUGUUAUGAUCCAAUUCUCUAAGCCCUUAAUCAAUUGGCAAGUAACAUAGAGGGUAGAGAGGAGGAGGGAAGGAGGAAGGUAGAAGGAGCAGAGCUCCAAUAUUUUUGUUUAUAUUUCUUUUUGUGUAAAUUCUCAUCUGAUUACAAUAGUGAGAGCUAGUGCUCUUAUACAAGUCACAACUCAUCAUGCCAGCUGGCUAAUUAUAACAAACUUCACUAAAACAGGAAUAGGCCUAAUAAUCCCAAGAUUAAAACCUUUAAUAAUGAUUAAGCUAAUCACUAAUUACAGAUCAUAUCAUUACUCACCCUCUUGAAAAACAACCUUGUCCUCAAGGUUAGGAUUAGCACUUGAAAUCUGGAACUUUUUCGCAGUGAAUUCAUCAUAAGCCUCUCUGCUUUUAUUGUCUAACCAAGGCACUGCACCAAAACUUGGAUUGCAAAAAUCUUGGUUGAUAUCUGCAACCCAUCCCAAAUGCUGAAAAAAAAAAGAACAAGCUUUGGAGAUGACUCCCCGCGAAGCCUUGAUGUCUUAGCUGGAAAGAAUUUAUCCCCGUCAUCGGAUGUAUGCAAAUUAUCCCUUACAAUCAAUUCUGAACCUUCCAAGCUGAGUCUCCUCGAAACAGAUGGGAAAUUUAUUAGAAAAAUAGAUCAGCCCACAUGUGUGUAAUCUAUAUACAAAAAAUCUCUCUCUUCAUUAGCCAAAUCGUUUCACAAAUCCCAAAACACAUAAUUAUAUCUUGAACAAUGCUAAUUAAUGAUUUCCCAUUUACUUAAGCCCAACAUCAACGCCAAUGAACUGAUGAAAGAGCGAAAAGGAGAAACAAAAAAACCUCAAUGAAGCAAUUAAAUGGAGAAUUACUUGAUAAUGCUGGAAAAUUACUACAAAAGGUUUGAAAAUUACCCGGUAAGAUUUAAAAAAAAAAAUAAAAAUAAAAAGAGUUGAUGUGGAGUGGAGUGGGAAUCACAUACCGCCAUCACCUUUAAAUAUGUAGUGCUCCCCUGAGAGAGCAUCAAUAGUGACUGUGCAGAGAAACAAAUGAUUGAGAAAUUCAAGCUAUGAGCUCAGAGUUGGGGCUUCCACUUUCCAACUGGGUAAGAAAUAAUAGAGAAAACACAGAGAGCCAAUCCACCAAAAAUAUUAAUCAAAUGGGUUUCUUCCAAUUCAAAAUUCGGACCACCCAAAUUCUGAUGAAGCAAUAACCAUUCAAAAUUCCAAUAGAUUGAAGCUCUCACAGACCACAAAUUAUCAAUACCCAGCAAUGAAAAAUUUGAUAACAGUAAUAAUGAAGGAAAAAGAAAUUAAAGCAACGAGCCAUUCUCUAAAUCUCAGGCACCAAUCCAAAUUUACAGAUGUGUUUUUCUUUUCUGUAAUCUGAUUAGAAAUUAUUAAAGAUGAUUACAUGAACCACCAAAUUCACCACCAAAUUUCAACAAAGAAGUAGCAAAGCACAACAAAAAAAAAAAAAAAAAAAAAAAUCAAAUAUUUGGCUUUCGGGUAGUUGAGAAGAAGUGAGAUUUAAUUACCUGUCAAAGGCUACAGUAAUUGGGAGCACAAUGGGGUGGCGAGGAGAUUGAACAGAUGAGGAAGCAAAGAACGAACAGAUCUCACAAAGCGAAAUCGAAAUCGCCAAUCGUGUUGCAGAGAACAGUUUUUUCCUUUUAGUAAAUAUAAUAUAAUAUAAUUUCUAUGCUAAAACCCAUGGUUCGGAGAAGAAUCUUGCAUGAUCACUAACAACGUAAGGGAAAAUCAAACUUCGUGGUGCUUGUUUUAUGAAUCUCUUUAUUUUUUAUUCCAAAUUUAAGAGUGUCUCACUUUUCCACAGUUUCUAAUCUGUUAUUGUUUUGGGAAAGUGGCUAAAAUGGUCUGAAAUCAUAUCUCAAUUCUCAAUUUAUGAACUUAUCAAAAUUAAAUAUCAACAACAUAUUGAAAAACUGAUAAUUUUAGUGAUUGGGUAAAAAAAUGAUCAUUUUAGCCAAAUUCCCUCUUAUUUUCUGUCGUCGUAAUUUUAGAUUGCAACUUUUGUAAGUUUUUCUGAUUUUGGUGUUGGUUUUUGUAGUUAAGAAUCAAGAAAUGUGUCACGCCCCGAUCUCGACAUUCGUCCAGGAUUGACACGUGACGUCACCAAAUACCUGUACAUCUACCAUACCACUCCUCCGGGAUACGGGCCAAACACAACUCACGAUCCAAAAGCGUAGUAAUUUUUUUCGUAUACUUUAUGGCUGCAUCUAACCUUCUCAUUAGAUUGCCUACGUACCCUAAACAGGGAUCAAGCCAUUCGUAGUUCGUCCUUCACUACCCUAGAACAAUCAUCACAUAAAUCAAUAUGUCUCAACAUAAUACCUUCAUCUAUAGCAUGUAACAUAUCAAAUAACCAAUGAAGCACAAUAAUAUUCUUUAGUCAUCAUGCCAUUCACCCACACAUAUGUUUUCCAACACCAUCCAACAAUCACACCAAUCAAUAACACAUACAAUACAUCGAAAUGCAGGGCUAGAGUGACAAAGUUCGGUCGAAUCCUACAUCCCUGAAGCUGAAAUCGAAUCCAAGGAGCCCAAACCACCCCUAGCCCGUCCCAUAUUCCUUCCCGAGCCCAGAGCUUAAACUCGAGCAACUCUCGGACCUCACAUCGGAGAAAACAGGAAAUGGAGAACUCCGGCAAGUUAUCAAAUUUUUCCGAUCGAGGUAAACUCGAAAUACCUUCAAUCUCUACCUUUUUGAUGUUCUGAUUCAAUUUUUGAGUUGUAUACGUGUUGUGACGACGUUUGGGUGCAAAAAUCAACUCUGGGAUGAACUCCUCGGUUUUCUGGCGAAGUUCGCAAGUUUCAGACCAUUUUUCUGGCCAAAACCUUUGGGCCAUUGUUCUAACCCAACCCAAUAACUCAGUUAACCUAAUCCAACCUAGCAAACCUAGCCCAACCCAGUGACUUGGAUAUGUGAAAUCGGCCCAAGCCCAGAUUCGUGGGCUAGAUCCGACUUGGGAUCCAGCCCGAUCCAAUUCCCAAAUGGAUUUGGAAUAUUCUUGGAAAUAUUCCUUGUGUUGACUUUUAUGAUAUUUUCUCAGGAACCUUCCUAGACUAAUUUCGACGCCUUGAGUCCCUUUUUUACAUCUAUUUAGUGAAAUUCUAAAGAUUUAGUGUAGUUGAUCAGCUCGGUGUCUCAGUUCACUUUUUGGGUCAAUUGUUGACUUUUUCGUUGACUUUUUACAAAAUUUACCCGAAACUACUCUUAGGGUAAUUUGACGCGCUGAUUCCGAUCCGCCAUCUGUUUCUCCAAAUUCAAAUGUUUUAAUUAAGUUUUUACUAAUGGGCCUCUAUUAUGCUUAGGUACUAUUUAGCAUUGGCGAAUUCGUAUUUACAUGUUCGAAUGGCAGUAACCUCGCAAGUACCUGUGAGUGGACCCCUUCUCAAAUUGCAUGCUUUCAUAACUAUUAGGCUUGCAUUCAUGAAAAUAAUAUUUUUAUAAUUCUAUAUUUUAUGAAUUAUUUAUGCUUUAUAUUUGAUUUAUAUUGCUUUCACGAAGUCUUUAUGAAUUAUCUUAAUAGCUUUUGAAGAAUUAUUUAUAAUCCAUUGGUUUAAUGUUUAUGAGAACUUGUAUUUAUGGAAAUCACGUUUAUGGAUUUAUAAGAUUUGAGAUAUGUUUUUUAUACUUAUCUAGUGGGUUAUUAUACAACACAUACACACAACUCGACUAUGUAGACUGACACACCCCGUUCCGAAGGAGGGCAUGCUGGCCGUCACGUAAGAGUGACGUAACCAUUUACACAGUUCGGAAGCUUUAAAGAUACAAUUACUAAGAUAUAACACCCGAGGGUGAAUCCUACUUUUGUGAAUUCUGUCAGAACACCGUUGGAUUCCUCGUGGCUACCAAAGCUCUGUUAACUUGAACCUGGAGGGGCGCAAACAAAAUUGAGUGGGUCAGUACAACAAAGUUUUUCGAAAACAUUUCAUUUAAAACAUUACUAACCCCUCGCCGUAAAACCUAAAUACUUUCCCAGAAAAUAACAUAAUAGUAUAUAAACAUAUAUAUAUAUAUAUAUAUAUAUAUAUCUAUAUAUAUCACCAAAAGCUCAAUUUAUAAUCCUUCAACGCUUUUCAGAAAGAAUAUGCCAUGCCAAGCCAUAUGCCAAAAUAUAAUAAAAAUGCAUCAAUAUAAAUCAGGUGAAAUAAUAAAUCAACCGGAGAUCCUACAGUGGUCCUGUACGGCUGAUUCUAUAGCUCAAUAUUCCAACCAGCCGGAGUCACCAACUGUGACCUGUACGGCCCUGCCGGAGUCACCAACUAUGACCUGUACGGCACUACACUGCACAUAUGCCGGAACUACCUAUAGUAGUCUGUACGACUAAGAUGGUGAAAUAAUACGCUCUAGUGCUUCUCUUAUUAAUCAUAUGUGCACAUAAUCUAAGGUCACCUACCAGUCGGAACCCCUCUAAUGGUCUGUACGACUGGCAUGUCGGAACCACCUCUAGUGGUCUGUACGACUAGCAUCUACUUGGAUCCUAGGUGAGCGUGUGAUGCAGGGUGAAUAACAUAAGCACUAACACCAGGGUUGCAGGUUACGAGCUCUCAACGUAAUUCACAUCAUCAUUCAUUCAUAUAAACCAUAUAAACUCACCUAAUACUCACAUGUGCGUCCACAGCACCAAUUCACAUAUAUAUAUGCAUCAAUAUCAAUUCAUAUAAUUUAUAAUAUGCAUCAUGGCAAUUGAAAACAUACUUUCAUAUAAUUUCAAUUUCUGGGACAAUUAAUAGUAUAUAGGUAAUACGAAAAAUAAAAACUGCCCACUCACCUGGAGUUCGCCCUACAACUCCCUAGCACAACACAUCAAGGCGUCAAGACGAUCGGCGCCUAGAACAAUAAUCAAAUCCAACCUCAGAAUCAUAUCGAUAGAAUAUAUAACUUAUAUAAAACACGUCAUUACGUAGUUCGAUCCGGAAGAUUUGCAAUUCAGAUUUCAAAUCCAUAACUUCCAGAGGUCCACAAUAUACCUCUAGGACAACAUCCUAAAAUUUCAUUAUCAUCCAAUGGUCGGAUCUCCGUCAAUCCCAAAACUAAGUGACGGUUAACAUUCUAUAUUAUGAACUUACAACUCCAAUUCCGAAAGAUCCAUAAAUCAGAUUCCCGAUCCGUAAUAUUUGAGGAUUAUAGGAUCGUGCUACGGUGGUAAAGUGGGCCGGGAUGUGAUCCACCCCGGGCCAGGAUGUGACAAAUGGUAUCAGAGCUAAUCCCUGGCCGGAAGUGUGCCGACGAGGACGUCGGGCCCCUAAUGAGGGUGGAUUGUAACAUUCCACAUUGCCUAGGGGAGUGAUCCUUAAAUGUAUAUUCUCAUCCCUACCUAGCACGAGGCCUUUUGAGAGCUCAAUGGCUUCGGGUUCCGUAGGAACUCCGAAGUUAAGCGAGAAGGAGGCCAGAGCACUCCCAGGAUGGGUGACCCACUGGGAAGUUGCUCGUGAGUUCCCAAAAACAAAAUCGUGAGGGAAUGGUAAGCCCAAAGCGGACAAUAUCGUGCUACGGUGGUAGAGUGGGCCCGUGAUGUGAUCCGCCCCGGGCCAGGAUGUGACAUAGACGUCUAUGGCCAUAGGACACAGUUGAGGAUAUUUAUGACAUACUCUCAGCUUCAUUGAAAAAAUCAGUGUUGGACAGCUUCACUAGCCACGACUAGUGUCGGUGUGUUAUGUUUAUAGUUAUAUUCUCUUCUCUAGCAUAACCCAGAGUCGUACAGCUUCACCUUAGGGUGAUGGGACCUACCAUGUUUCUUCACUAGCGUAACCCAGUGUCGUACAGCUUCACCUCUGGGUGAUGAUUAUGCCUUCAGGCGACUAUGAUACCUAUAGUUGAGUAUAUCACAGAGUUUAUUUACAAGAUUCUCAUAUCUACCUUCGGGUGUUACGAUACGAUUUCCAGAGAUGAUUUUAUCGUUACAAAAUUUUUAGCAUGCUAGAGUUUCCAGAAAAAACUAUUAUGUAGUAUUAUAUGGGUUUUCAAAUAGAGAGUUAAUAUGUUCAGAAAAAGAAAACGGUUUUAGUAUUAUCACUAUUAUUAUAAAUUAUGGUCCACUCACCCUUUCAUUCUUGUGCCUCUUUUAGGAUUUAGAAUCGAGGAGCAUGAUCCCGGCGUCAGUGCACUUCCGCAUAGGUAUCUUCGAGUCUUCUCAGUGUAUGACCUAUUUCCCUUGUUCGUACCUUUUUAUAAUAAUUCAUUCACAUUAUUCUUGCUUAGUUGUAGGUUUUGAACACGUUUCUUUCUUUAUAGUUACAUAUUUUAGUCACUUUCGUUUACUGAUACCACUUGCAUGCAUGUUAAAAUGGUUUCGUCACCUUCGGGUGUCAGCUAGCACGUGCCUACCCUGGUAUUUGAGGAUAUCGGGGUUGGGGCAUGUCAGCCUGGGUGGUCGUACUAUGCACAGGGGCGCGUGUGGGCCAGCAGACCUUGGGCCUACGCUGCGUGCUGGGCUAGUGCUUGCUCCUCAUGGGUCUAGGCCUAGCUAGUAGUGAGUUGGGCUCGACUGGCAACGAGUUGGCCUUGGGUCGUCUGCCCAUGGGCUCAUAUUGCUAGUUGGCUAGCGAUCUUUCGUGCACCUGGACCUGCUGCAGUGGCUUAUGCCUCAUUCCUUGGGCCUAAUAUGGCAGUUGUCACGCUUUCGGCCUCUUACAUGUGGUCCGUGAGUUCAUGUUCAGUGCAAGUGGCCAUUGUAGCACGCGUCUGGGCCUCGGCUUGGGCUGCUGUUGUGAAAUCACAUUCUUGGAUUUCACUAUUAUAAUUUCCAUGCUUCAUAUUCGUGAAAUUUUAUAUUAUUUUUUUGCAAAUUUAAUUUAAUUUAGUUAAUUUAGAAUAUUAAUUCCCUUGUUACAAAGUUUGAAAUUUUGAAAAUAAUCAUUUAAAAUUUGUAGACCUUUUAUGGUCAAAAUUAAUGUUUUCAAAAAGAGAUCAAUCAUACGAACGUGUAGGCGAAGGCCGUUCACGAAUCGAAGCUAUAACAAAGAAGUUAUGAGCAACGGAAGUUUGAGAUAAAUGUUAAUUUAGGACUUUCUCUAAAUGAAAGGUUACUAUGUUUAUUUGGAAGAGGGACCAAUUAGAUUGGGGGAAAGCCCAUUUAAUGGGAGGAUGGACCAAUCAGAAAGGGGAUGAGGGUUAACCAAUCAGAAAAGAGAGAACCAGCAGAGCCGGAUCCUCCCUCAACCCGCAUGACUCGGUUUCUGGCGACUUUUGCUUCCUUUUCUUUUGUCGAUUUUUUUGACGAGUUGGAGACAUCCAUCACCACCACAUGACUCACUAGCCUCCCCUCUUCAAUUCUCAACCAAACUCAACUCAGUUUUACUCUAAUUUCAUGAUGACCUCAUUCGGCGAGUCCAUGAGUCCUGUGUUGGUGAUCUGCCGUUUUUGAAAGUUAUUCUUUUGACCACCACCACCCACAGACACCCCUUAAGCCCAGGAACAUGACCCAAACAAGUUUGGGAUGGGCAGAGUAACAAAGAUGACGAAUCAAAGUGCACCAUUUUUAGGGUUUUCCGAUGGAUCAUGGUAUUAUCAGGCCUUAGACCUCGACCCAUGUAUAAAACUUACUCCCUUCUUCAAGAUCUUUAUUUUGGUAUACUUUGAGAAAUUUUGGAGUUAGGUGGAUUUUCCGGCAAAUCAGGGCGAUUAACCACCUCGUGCGGUGGUGCAUGCCGGUGGCGCGUAGCUCGAGGACCCAGUUGAUCAUUCUUGAGUACAUUCGAUGUCCAAUUCCAUAUUUGAUAUCCGAUUGACAAAAUUUUGUUUCUUGAACAUAUUUUCGUUAGGGUUGUUUGUACCAUACUUGAUCAAUCCCGAAACUACCGAGCAUCGAUUAACGUUAUACCGUCAAGGACCCAGAAGAGUUUCCCACUAACCAGGAGGCCAAUCACAGCGAGACACGUGUCGACAUCAGAAGCCAAUUAUAGCAUGACACGUGUCAACAUUGGAAGUCAAUCACAACACGACAUGUGUCAAUGUCAGAACAAAGCUAGAAACUCUCUUCUAUAAAAGGAGAUCAUUCUCCCACAAUAUUGCCUAAUGUCACUUGUACUAAAUCAUUCACUAGUACUCACUAAAGGAGAGCUUGAACCUAUGUACUUGUGUAAACCUUUCACAAUUAAUGAUAACUCAUCUACUCCGUGGACGUAGCCAAUCUGGGUGAACCACAUAUAUCUUGUGUUUGCUUCAUUGUCUCUAUCCAUUUGCAUACUUAUCCACACUAGUGACUGGAGCAAUCUAGCGAAAGUCACAAACUUAACACUUUCUGUUGUACCAAAGUCCUCACUGAUUUUAUGCAUAAACAUUUGGCGCCGUCUGUGGGAACGACACUUAUUCCCACUCUCUUCAGCUUUGUCAAGCUGGUUUCCACCAUUCGUACACUCUCUUUUGACCAAGCAUCCCUCUCUAACAUGGGGAGCGAAAGAAGCCACAGCACACAGAAUGACACCCAUCUUGCACCUAGUGCGAAGCAACGAAAGAAUGAAGGAAAGAGGGUUGCUCUUCAAGCUAAAGUAAAUGAGCUAGAAGCUCAGAACAACAAGUUAGCAAUGAAGAAUGAGGUCCUUUAGGAGCAGUAUGAGAAGCUCUUUAAGACUCUCCACGAAACUAGGCGUACUCAAACACGCGAGCUCGUUACCCCUGUGGACAUCAACCAUCAUCUGGAUGCCCCCCAACACAGAGGGUCACAUUCAUUCGACAUGGGUAUCCCUGAUAAGGAGUGAGCUAAUCAUCAAAACAUUGAUCAACAUGAGACUUCUCUUAACCCAGCUGCUUCGACCUGAAGCAGGAGAAGUGGAGGAAGACACAUCCUUGUAGAAGGGUUAGAAAGAUCGAAAGCCGUUUAUCGUGACUGCCGAGACUUCCUAAAGUAACGUCGAGAGAAUCCCUCCCCCACAUAAGCUCGAAGAUCAAUGACCCAAGAGUUUCUAAAAGACUCGGUCCUCUCCCACGACCCAGGCCAGCUGCCAAUCUAGGGAAGGAAUGACAUGUCCCAGAGGAACAUGAAGGUACAGAAGACUCGGAGGUAUUCCGACAGACUCACCUUAGAAGUCAAUACGGCAAGUCCAAGGAAAAACCACACGCUCUUGCUCAAACUUUCCUACUUCCAAAAGGCGAUGGAAACUUGCGGAAGAAAAUUCCAGUGGUACAUGACUCCACUCAGGACCCCUUUGUCCUACAGCUUCUUGAAGAAGUAAACAAGUUGAAGGCCAAACAUCAGGCCGAGAUACCUGACUGGAACCAACCCAGGCCUGACCCUCUCACAAGAAGGAUCCUUGACACCCCCUUCAAGCGAAGACAAAACAAAAGCUUGAUUUACAACUCUAUACUGAAAUAGAGGACUCGAUUGAACACCUUAACCUCUUUGAGUCCACCAUGGCAUAUCAGAUGCUCUAAACUGAUGACUUGUACAAUAUUAGCCAAAAGUUGGAUGAGUUACUACGUUCAGCCAUAAGUAUUCUCGCUGCGUUGAGGCAGAUGACAAGACCGCCCUCAAGGCCUACGUGAUUGUUUCUUCAAGUACAUGAUCAAUGCCAACACUUAGAGGACUUACUCUGAGGUGAUGGCACAGGCUUACAACCACGCCUCUGCCUAAGCAAGGACAUACCAAAGGAACCCCCAUAUGGUUAACCCCUAUCAACAAGUAGGAAGUGGAAGUCAAGUUCUACCAAGUGAGGAUAUAUUGACCAUUCAGACACCCAUUGCAUUAUCUCCUAGCUCAUUUAGCUACUCGCUAAGUCACCAAACGUAUUUGUCUCUUGGUAAGAGGAAUGAUUUUUACUCUCAGCAAGCCCAUUACAACAAGAGGGAUAAUAGUUCGUAUCAAGACAACCAGGGGUGAAUGUACCAUUGACUAUUAUGACUAUGGGGCCAAGCCUCACUCUUUCAAAGCAGAGGACUAGGUACUGAAGGAAAUGCUAUUAUAAGAAGGCAUAUACAUUACAAAUGUUUUGACCCUUAAUCGCUUGAGAUAUUUUGUCACACAAGCCAUUCGGCAACUAUUUAAAGAAGAAGGAAUUCAGACAACUUCUCUUGAGUCUUUUGCAUUCCUAGCACUGGAACACUUGGUCUAUGCUGACUACCCCUAUACUCCAACUCAGAGCUUCAACAUGCAUACUUUGACACAAAGUAUGUGAUACUAAGUGUUACAACCAACAUGAUUCACAUAUCGAAAGCAUGGAUCCCUUCAUGCAUAGCAAAACAUUCAUAAGCAUCACUCAUGUCAAUCAACAUAAACAUCAUACGUUCCAAUACAUUCAUACAUAAACAUCAUACAUUCCAACACAUCCAUACAUAUGCCAACUGUGCUUCGAAAAGGUUCAACAUACUUUGUGUCAUUCAACAUUUGCUACAAUGUGCCUCGACACCUUGUCCUUAUUCUAACUAACCAGGUGAUGAAAUGUAAAAGAAGGAACUCAUCUUCAUGCCACCAACCAGGUGAUGAAAUGUACAACCCGUACUCUAAUAUCAUUUGGCAACUUGCCACUCAUGCCACCAACCUGGUGAAGAAGAAACUCAUCUUCAUACCACCAACCAGGUGAUAAAAUGUACAACCCGUACUCUCCUUCAUGCCAUCAACCAGGUAAUGAAAUGUACAACCCGUACUCUAAUAUCAUUUGUCAACUUGCCACCCAUGCCACCAACCAGGUGAAGAAGGAACUCAUCUUCGUGCCACCAACCAGGUGAUGAAAUGUACAACCCGUACUCUUCUUCAUGCCACCAACUAGGUGAUGAAAUGUACAACCCGUACUCUAAUAUCAUUUGGCAACUUUCUAUUCAUGCCACCAACCAGGUGAAGAAGGAACUCAUCUUCAUGCCACCAACCAGGUGAUGAAAUGUGAUGAAAGGUAAUGAAGGAACUCACCUUCGUACCACCAACCAAGUGAUGAAAGCAACUCACCAUUCAUUCCACCAACCAAAAGACGAGUGGUACAACUUGUACAUGUGAACUCCUAGCAUUCACAAAUAAUAAAAAACCCUCAAGCUUCACACAGUCUUAUGCCUAACAAGAGUUAUAGUCACCAACAAAGUCUUAUUGCAAGCCAACAAUGGCUUCAGUGCAUGGUAUACGAAGAUCAAGCUCUUCAGCCCUCUUGCAUCUGCUCCAGACAUUUCUCUUCUGUAACAAUGCCAACACUACAACUCGUAGAAAGCUUCACACACUCUUGAUCAAGAUUGUUCGAAGCAAAUUAAAUUUAUAUGGUUCAUCCAAACCUUCGACUACUACAAGGUGUGGCUUGCAUCACAAUCUCUUGCUCAAUAGUGUAGAAGCAAAAUUUGUAAAUGUUAUCUCUCCCACAUUUUCAAAUUUCUAGUUUCCAAAAAAAAAAAAAAAUUGGGAAAUUCAACAAAACUUCAUUAAUGGAGGACAACUACAAAUUCUCAAAAGCUUCAUACUAUCUUGAUCAAGAUAGUGUGAAGCAAAAUCAAUUCAUGGUACCUAACAAAGCUUCAACCUCAAAGCUUCACAUACAAAGCUUCAACAAAUGGAGGGCAACUACAAAUUCUCAAAAGCUUCACACUAUCUUGAUCAAGAUAGUGUGAAGCAAAAUCAAUUCAUGGUACCCAACAAAGCUUCACCUACAAAGCUUCACCACAAAAGGUUCACCAACAAAAGCUUCAACAAAUGGAGGGCAACUACAAAUUCUCAAAAGCUUCACACUAUCUUGAUCAAGAUAGUGUGAAGCAAAAUCAAUUCAUGGUAUCCAACAAAGCUUCACCUACAAAAGAUUCAACACCAAAGCUUCACCUACAAAAGCUUCAACACCAAAGUUUCACCUACAAAAGCUUUACCUACAAAAGCUUCAACACCAAAGCUUCACCUAUAAAGUUCAACACCAAAGCUUCACCUACAAAGCUUCAACACCAAAGCUUCACCUACAAAGCUUCAACUCCAAAGCUUCACCUACAAAAGUUUCAACCCCAAAGCUUCACCUACAAAGCUUCAACAUCAAAGCUUCACCUACAAAGUUUCACCUACAAAGCUUCAACAUCAAAGCUUCACCUACAAAGCUUCAACUCCAAAAGUUGCUUCACCUACAUAAGCUUCAACUCCAAAAGCUGCUUCACCUACAAAGCUUCAACUCCAAAGCUUUACCUACAAAAGCUUCAACUCCAAAAGCUUCACCUACAAAGCUUAUAUAUAUAUAUAUAUAUAUAUAUAUAUAUAUAUAUUUUUUUUUUUUUUUGAAAAUUCGAAAAAAAUAAAAUAAAAAUUCCAAAAUUUGAAGAAAAAAAAAUUCAAAAAAUUCAAAAAAAAAGAAAAGAGAGCCUAUACCUCACAUUUCUUUGGGCGUAACAACUUUCAUAACAAAUGUACAUGAAAGAGAGGGGUUUUGGGGCUACCACUUAGAAAGGAAAAUGGUGAAGUUUUGUUACUUUUGAAAACUUGGCUACUAGCAAGACACCUCCUUCGUCAACUCCCUCGACCGAAGACUUGGGGGACUCCUACCAUAAGCUACUACACCUCGGUACUUAGAAGUUUCACGACUACUCAGUGACUUGGAUCUUUCAAGUCUCCAAACGAGAAGUUUUCCUCACUCGGGAAAUUAAGGGAGCACUACCUUAACCUACAUGCUUCACUCACAAAGCUUCAACAUACAAGCUUCAACAAAAGAAAAAAAAAUUAAAGAACUUAGUGAAGGAGGCCUUGGUGUAUUUAACACAAUACGUUGAAAUGAAGCAAAGCUUAUUUAUUGAUAUCUCCGAUAAGUUACAAAUAUGUAUAUAUACAUGAAUCAAAAUAAACAAACAAAAGGGAGCCUUCACAAAAGUUGCUCAGGAGAAGUCUCAGCAGUCGGCAGAGCCCCAGAAAAAGAAGGCACCAGAGGGUGAUCAUUCGGAGCCUCAGUACUGGACAGAACCCCAAAAUGAGGAGGCAUCAGAGGUUGAUCAUUUAGAGCUUCAUUACGCGAUACAGCCCCAGAAGACGAAGGCAAUAAAUGCCUUUGGAACAAACCCACAAACCUCUGAUGAUCAAGCAAAAUCUGACCAUCAGAUUCCUGCAUCUGGUUAAGCUUUCUCUUCAUGUUUGUAACAAAGUCAUGUGCGAGCCUGUGCAAUUGUUUAUUCUCAUGCUUAAGCCCUUUAAUCUCCUGUUUGAGACUUAUCACUUCAGCCGCCAAUGAUUCAACUUGGUGGGUUCGAGCAAAUAGGCGUUGGGCCAUAUUAGACACAAAACCUGCACACUGAACACUGAGAGCCAGAGAAUCCUUAACAGCCAACUCAUCAGACCAUUUGGAAAGUAGUCUGUUAUCUUUGGGAGUGAGAAGGUUCCUGGCCACCACCGCAGCGGUCAUAUCAUUCUUCAUCACAGAGUCCCCAAUGGUAAGAUGACCAGUAAGGGAUAAGAAGGAUGGGCAUCAUAUGUUGUCUUGAAGAGGUAUGGUUGCCUCUUCACCAAAGUUCAAGUCAAAACGACGGUCGGAUGGGCCAGACAUUUUCAGAAAUGAUGAAAGAGAAAUGAGGUCCAAUAAAUCUCUGAAGUACGAAAAUAAAGGGAAAAUUCCUACAAGCAAUAACUAUUUAAACGUACUUCUUGCACAUAAUUGGUGGUCCUAUAAAAGAAAGGGCAGCAGGGCCGUUUGUUCAAAAAUAGAAGAGGCACCAUUAUCUGGAUUUCGAGAAGCAGAUUUUUCCUGAGUAAAAUAUGUCGACAAUCCCCACACACAACAUCAGCUCAUCGGGUACCACAGAUAACUUUUGCGAAAGAUCUCUGACAAAGUUUAUACACAUAAAUUUUGAAGGUCCAGCUACCUUACCAUUACCCACACUGGUAAAGGAACAGCACCACUGCUUGAUAACUGGAAAGUCCCUAUGUGUGUCAACCUCCGUGCUCCGUGGCAAGGUACACAACAAACAACAACAACAAAGCCUUUUCCCACUAAGUGGGGUCGGCUAUAUGAAUCCUAGAGAACGCCAUUGCGCUCGGUUUUGUGUCAUGUCCUCCGUUAGAUCCAAGUACUCUAAGUCUUUUCUUAGAGUCUCUUCCAAAAGUUUUCCUAGGUCUUCCUCUACCCCUUCGGCCCUGAACCUCUGUCCCGUAGUCACAUCUUCGAANAAAGUCUUAUUGCAAGCCAACAAUGGCUUCAGUGCAUGGUAUACGAAAGAUCAAGCUCUUCAGCCCUCUUGCAUCUGCUCCAGACAUUUCUCUUCUGUAACAAUGCCAACACUACAACUCGUAGAAAGCUUCACACACUCUUGAUCAAGAUUGUUCGAAGCAAAUUAAAUUUAUAUGGUUCAUCCAAACCUUCGACUACUACAAGGUGUGGCUUGCAUCACAAUCUCUUGCUCAAUAGUGUAGAAGCAAAAUUUGUAAAUGUUAUCUCUCCCACAUUUUCAAAUUUCUAGUUUCCAAAAAAAAAAAAAAAUUGGGAAAUUCAACAAAACUUCAUUAAUGGAGGACAACUACAAAUUCUCAAAAGCUUCAUACUAUCUUGAUUCAAGAUAGUGUGAAGCAAAAUCAAUUCAUGGUACCUAACAAAGCUUCAACCUCAAAGCUUCACAUACAAGCUUCAACAAAUGGAGGGCAACUACAAAUUCUCAAAAGCUUCACACUAUCUUGAUCAAGAUAGUGUGAAGCAAAAUCAAUUCAUGGUACCAACAAAGCUUCACCUACAAAGCUUCACCACAAAAGGUUCACCAACAAAAGCUUCAACAAAUGGAGGGCAACUACAAAUUCUCAAAAGCUUCACACUAUCUUGAUCAAGAUAGUGUGAAGCAAAAUCAAUUCAUGGUAUCCAACAAAGCUUCACCUACAAAAGAUUCAACACCAAAGCUUCACCUACAAAAGCUUCAAACACCAAAGUUUCACCUACAAAAGCUUUUACCUACAAAAGCUUCAACACCAAAAGCUUCACCUAUAAAAGUUCAACACCAAAGCUUCACCUACAAAGCUUCAACACCAAAGCUUCACCUACAAAGCUUCAACUCCAAAGCUUCACCUACAAAAGUUUCAACCCCAAAGCUUCACCUACAAAGCUUCAACAUCAAAGCUUCACCUACAAAGUUUCACCUACAAAGCUUCAACAUCAAAGCUUCACCUACAAAGCUUCAACUCCAAAAGUUGCUUCACCUACAUAAGCUUCAACUCCAAAAGCUGCUUCACCUACAAAGCUUCAACUCCAAAGCUUUACCUACAAAAGCUUCAACUCCAAAAGCUUCACCUACAAAGCUUAUAUAUAUUAUAUAUAUAUAUAUAUAUAUAUAUAUAUUUUUUUUUUUUUUUUUGAAAAUUCGAAAAAAAUAAAAUAAAAAAUUCCAAAAUUUGAAGAAAAAAAAAUUCAAAAAUUCAAAAAAAAAGAAAGAGAGCCUAUACCUCACAUUCUUUGGGCGUAACAACUUUCAUAACAAAUGUACAUGAAAGAGGGGUUUUGGGCUACCACUUAGAAAGGAAAAUGGUGAAGUUUUGUUACUUUGAAAACUUGGCUACUAGCAAGACACCUCCUUCGUCAACUCCCUCGACCGAAGACUUGGGGGACUCCUACCAUAAGCUACUACACCUCGGUACUUAGAAGUUUCACGACUACUCAGUGACUUGGAUCUUUCAAGUCUCCAAACGAGAAGUUUUCCUCACUCGGGAAAUUAAGGGAGCACUACCUUAACCUACAUGCUUCACUCACAAAGCUUCAACAUACAAGCUUCAACAAAAGAAAAAAAAAUUAAAGAACUUAGUGAAGGAGGCCUUGGUGUAUUUAACACAAUACGUUGAAAUGAAGCAAAGCUUAUUUAUUGAUAUCUCCGAUAAGUUACAAAUAUGUAUAUAUACAUGAAUCAAAAUAAACAAACAAAAGGGAGCCUUCACAAAAGUUGCUCAGGAGAAGUCUCAGCAGUCGGCAGAGCCCCAGAAAAAGAAGGCACCAGAGGGUGAUCAUUCGGAGCCUCAGUACUGGACAGAACCCCAAAAAUGAGGAGGCAUCAGAGGUUGAUCAUUUAGAGCUUCAUUACGCGAUACAGCCCCAGAAGACGAAGGCAAUAAAUGCCUUUGGAACAAACCCACAAACCUCUGAUGAUCAAGCAAAAUCUGACCAUCAGAUUCCUGCAUCUGGUUAAGCUUUCUCUUCAUGUUUGUAACAAAGUCAUGUGCGAGCCUGUGCAAUUGUUUAUUCUCAUGCUUAAGCCCUUUAAUCUCCUGUUUGAGACUUAUCACUUCAGCCGCCAAUGAUUCAACUUGGUGGGUUCGAGCAAAUAGGCGUUGGGCCAUAUUAGACACAAAACCUGCACACUGAACACUGAGAGCCAGAGAAUCCUUAACAGCCAACUCAUCAGACCAUUUGGAAAGUAGUCUGUUAUCUUUAUCUUGGGGAGUGAGAAGGUUCCUGGCCACCACCGCAGCGGUCAUAUCAUUCUUCAUCACAGAGUCCCCAAUGGUAAGAUGACCAGUAAGGGAUAAGAAGGAUGGGCAUCAUAUGUUGUCUUGAAGAGGUAUGGUUGCCUCUUCACCAAAGUUCAAGUCAAAACGACGGUCGGAUGGGCCAGACAUUUUCAGAAAUGAUGAAAGAGAAAUGAGGUCCAAUAAAUCUCUGAAGUACGAAAAUAAAGGGAAAAUUCCUACAAGCAAUAACUAUUUAAACGUACUUCUUGCACAUAAUUGGUGGUCCUAUAAAAGAAAGGGCAGCAGGGCCGUUUGUUCAAAAAUAGAAGAGGCACCAUUAUCUGGAUUUCGAGAAGCAGAUUUUUCCUGAGUAAAAUAUGUCGACAAUCCCCACACACAACAUCAGCUCAUCGGGUACCACAGAUAACUUUGCGAAAGAUCUCUGACAAAGUUUAUACACAUAAAUUUUGAAGGUCCAGCUACCUUACCAUUACCCACACUGGUAAAGGAACAGCACCACUGCUUGAUAACUGGAAAGUCCCUAUGUGUGUCAACCUCCGUGCUCCGUGGCAAGGUACACAACAACAACAACAACAAAGCCUUUUCCCACUAAGUGGGGUCGGCUAUAUGAAUCCUAGAACGCCAUUGCGCUCGGUUUUGUGUCAUGUCCUCCGUUAGAUCCAAGUACUCUAAGUCUUUUCUUAGAGUCUCUUCCAAAGUUUUCCUAGGUCUUCCUCUACCCCUUCGGCCCUGAACCUCUGUCCCGUAGUCACAUCUUCGAACCGGAGCGUCAGUCGGCCUUCUUUGCACAUGUCCAAAUCACCAGAGCUGAUUUUCUCUCAUCUUUCCUACAAUUUCGGCUACUCCUACUGUACCUCGGAUAUCCUCAUUCCCAAUCUUAUCCUUUCUCGUGUGCCCACACAUCCCACGAAGCAUCCUCAUCUCCGCUACACCCAUUUUGUGUACGUGUUGAUGCUUCACCACCCAACAUUCUCUGCCAUACAACAUCGCUGGCCUUAUUGCCGUCCUAUAAAAUUUUCCCUUGAGCUUCAGUGGCCUACGACGGUCACACAACACGUCGGAUGCACUCUUUCCAUCCAGCUCGUAUUCUAUGGUUGAGAUCUCCAUCUAAUUCUCCGUUCUCUUGCAAGAUAGAUCAUAGGUAACGAAAACGGUCGCUUUUUGUGAUCUUCGCUAGAUUGCUCCGGUCAUUAGUGUGGAUAAGUAAAUAAAUGGAUAGAGAUAGGAAAGCAAACACAAGAUGUACGUGGUUCACCCAGAUUGGCUACGUCCACGGAAUAGAAGAGUUCUCAUUAAUUGUGAAGGGUUUACACAAGUACAUAGGUUCAAGCUCUCCUUUAGUGAGUACGAGUGAAUGAUUUAGUACAAAUGACAUUAGGAAAUAUUGUGGGAGAAUGAUCUCGUAAUCACGAAACUUCUAAGUAUCGGAGUGUGGUGUCGUCUUGACUUGCCUUAUCUGUCUCAUAGGUAGAUGUGGCAUCUUCUCUGGAAGUACUCUUCCUCCAUCCAGGGGUGGUAUCUUUAACUGGUGGAGAUGCACAAGGUAAUGUAUCAAUUUCACUUGAAGCUUACUUGUAGUUUCAGGCUUGGUCAAGCGCGAUACAAACCAUGUAGUAGAAGUCCCCCAAGUCGCCGAGCUAGGGGGUCUGCUGAAAGAGGUGACAGACAAGGUAAGCAAUCAGAGCUCCGACUGAUUGUUCACCUUCUCCCCAUCUUGCAGCAGCAUGAAGGAUAAAGAGAAGAAAAAUGAGAAGAGAUGAUAUGAGAUACUUUUGCUUUUGAAGAAGUAACUUUCCACAGGCUUAUUCUUGAACUAAGCUGGAGGGUUUUCUGGUUUCCUCCAGAGUAUAAGGCCGACUGAAGAAUUUGAGGGUCAAAACAAGUCCAUCAAAUCUAGAGUACGUUCCACCCUGCUGAUAUGGGAUACUUUUGCUUUUGACAGAGUAAUGGAUGUAUCGGCACGUGUGCUGUUACGCUUGUCUCCACAUGCUUCCUUGUAUCCUUCGCACUUGCCCUAUCUGUUCCUCAAGCAGAUGCGGAAUCUUCCCUGGAAACAUAAGAUGUUGAAGAUGAGUACUCGAGAGCAAUGCCAGGUAAGUAAUCAGGUAAGGGGUUCCAGGCAGUCAGUUCCUGGCUGGAAGCUUGAUUCCAAGUGCUGACUGAUUGCUCUCUUUCUCCUUGUCUUGCAGGUAAAAACAAGGCCAAAAGAAAAAACAGGAAAAAAAGCAUGAUAUGGGAUACUCUUGCUUUUAACCCUGAUGAUAUGAGAUAUUCUUGCUCUAGUAUAGCUUGUUUGCAGAGGUAUUAUCGGGGGGGAAAAGAAAGCUGAAUAUUUCGAAAGGCUUUGUUGGGAGUGCCCUCUCAGAUAUGAUGAAGGGUUGAGCAUUUUUGCAGGUCUGCCUGUCCGUUGGGGAUGGAGGUCGACAUAUAUAGGAGUCUCCCUAACAACAAGUAGUAAUGCUAUUCCUUUACCCUGCUUGGUCAUAGCACGGUAGUGGGAGCUGCCAGUUUCACAUGUUUUAACUCUGUCAGAGCACUUUGAAAAAAGUGGUCUGUGGUAUCUGGCUCUCGAGAUUCGAAGAACGAUGCCUCUUCGAUUUUUGAGAAAGCAAUCAUGUUGGGGGUCUGACUCUCGAGAUUCGGAGAGUAGUGUCUCUUCGAUUUUUGAGGAAGUAAUCAUGUUGGGAGUCUGGCUCUCGAGAUUCGGAGGGCGGUGCCUCUUCGAUUUUGGAGCAAGCAAUCUUGUUGGGAGUGUUGUCUCGAAUGUGAGUAAAGGUUGGACAUGUUUGCUAGUCUACCUUGCCACGAAGCACAAAGGUUGACACAUAGGGACUUUCCAAUUAUCCAGCAAUGGUACUGUUCCUUUACCCUCUCUUCGAUUUUGAGAAAGUAGUCAUGUUGGGAGUCUGACUCUCGAGAUUCGGAGGACGGUGCCUCUUCGAUUUUGGAGCAAGCAAUCUUGUUGGGACUGUUUUCUCGAAUGUGAGUAAAGGUUGGGCAUGUUUGCUAGUCUACCUUGCCACGAAGCACAGAGGUUGACACACAGGGACUUUCCAAUUAUCCAGCAGUGGUACUGUUCCUUUACCCUUGUGGGUAAUAAUAUGGUAGCUAGACCUUCAAAAUUUAUGUGUCGACAUGACACAGGAUCGAGCACAAUGGCGUUCUAAGAUUCAUAUAGCCGAUCCCACUCAGUGACUUGGAUUUUCCAAGUCUCAAACCAAGAAGUUUUCCUCACUCGGGAAAUUAAGGGAACACUACCCCAACCUACAUGCUCCACUCAGAAAGCUUCAACAUACAAGCUUCAACAAAAGAAAAUUCAAAGAACUUAGCGAAGAAGGCUUUGGUGUAUUUAACACAAUACGUUGAAAUGAAGGAAAGCUUAUUUAUUGAUAUCCCCGAUAAGCUACAAAUAUGUACAUAUACAUGAGUCAAAAUAAACACACAAGAGGGAGCCUUCACAAAGGUUGCUUAGGAGAAGUCUCAGCAGUCGGUAGAGCCCCAGAAAGAGAAGGCACCGGAGGGGGAUCAUUUGGAGCCUCAGUACUGGACAGAACCCUAGAAGGAGGAGGCAUCAGAGGUUGAUCAUUUGGAGCUUCAUUACGCGGUACAGCCCCAGAAGACGAAGGCAAUAAAUGCCUUUGGAACAAACCCACAAAUCUCUGAUGAUCAAGUAAAACCUGACCAUCAGUUUCCUUCAUCUGGUCAAGCUUCCUCUUCAUGUUUGUAGCAUAGUCAUGUGCGAGCCGGUGCAACUGUUUAUUCUCAUGCUUGAGCCCUCUAAUCUCCUGUUUGAGACUCAUCACUUCAGCCGCCAAUGAUUCAACUUGGCGGGUUCGAGCAAAUAGGCGUUGUGCCAUAUUAGACACAGAACUUGCACUCUGAACACUGAGAGCCAGCGAAUCCUUAACAGCUAACUCAUCAGACCGUUUGGAAAGUAGUCUGUUAUCUUUGGGAGUGAGAAGGUUCCUGGCCACCACCGCAGCGGUCAUAUCAUUCUUCAUCACGGAAUCCCCAACGGUAAGAGGACCAGUUGGGGAGACGAAGGAUGGGCGCCAUAUGUUGUCUGGAGAAGGCGGGGCUGCCUCUUCAACAAGGUUCAAGUCAAAACGACGGUCGGAGGGGCCAGACAUUUUCAAAGGUGUUGGAGAGAGAAGAGGUCGGACAAAUCAAGAUCUUAGAAGUGCAAGAAUGAAGCUUCUACUGGUGGAGAUUCAAGUGUGCUUUGGAACUUAAUGUCAGCCCCUAUAAAAAUCUGCACUCGACGGAGCUUCAGAAAUCAAAGAGGCGCCUGCUCAGAAAUCGAAGAGGCGUUUGCUUUCUCAAAAGUUGGGCUGCUUAGAGAUCACGAGGGUUGAUCUCAGAAAUCGAAGAGCCGUUUGCUUUCUCAAAAGUUGGGCUGCUCAAAGACCACGAAGGCCGAUCUCAGAAAUCGAAGAGGCGCUCGCUUUCUCAAAAGCUGGGCUCCCUAGAGACCACGAGGGCCGAUCUCAGAAAUCGAAGCUGCACCUACUUUUCCAGCCUUGUCAGCACCUGUCACACGCACACUCAGCUUUGCGGAAAUUAUGGGCAUUCUGUCAAAAGACUUCUGGGGAAGUAGAAAACACAUGAAUCUUACUGUUCAAUCACCCACUUCCCACACGCAACAAUAGCUCAUGGGUACCACAGAUAACUUUGCCAAAGUUCUCUGCCAAAGUUGAGCACGUGAAGCUUGCAGCUCCCACUACAUCGCUCUGACCAAGAAGGGUAAAAGAAUAGCAAAGAAACAGCACUAACAAAGUUUAGACCCAUAAAUUUUGAAGGUCUAGCUACCAUAUUAUUACCCACAAGGGUAAAGGAACAGUACCACUGCUGGAUAAUUGGAAAGUCCAUGUAUGUCAACCUCUGUGCUUCGUGGCAAGGUAGACUAGCAAACAUGCCCAACCUUUACUCACAUUCGAGAAAACACUCCCAACAAGAUUGCUUGCUCCAAAAUCGAAGAGGCACCGCCCUCCGAAUCUCGAGAGCCACUCUCCCAACAUGAUUACUUUCUCAAAAAUCGAAGAGACACUGCUCCCCGAAUCUCGAGAGCCAGACCCCCAGCAUGAUUGCUUUCUCAAAAAUCGGUGAGGCACCGUUCUCCGAAUCAAUCGAAGAGGCGCUCGCUUUCUCAAAAGCUGGGCUGCUCAGAGACCACGAGGGCCGAUCUCAGAAAUCAAAGAGGCACCUACUUUUCUAGCCUUGUCAGCACCUGUCACACGCACAUUCAGUUUUGCAGAAAUUAUGGGCAUUCUGUCGAAGACUUGCCCAACCUUUACUCAUAUCGAGAAAACACUCCCAACAUGAUUACUUUCUUAAAAAUUAAAGAGGCACCGCUCCCCGACUCUCGAGAGCCAGACUCUCACCAUGAUUGCUUUCUCAAAAAUCGAAGAGGCACCGCUAUCCGAAUCUCAAGAACCAGACUCCCACCAGGAUUACUUUCUCAAAAAUCGAAGAGGCACCGCUAUCCGAAUCUCGAGAGACAGACUCCCACCAUGAUCGCUUUCUCAAAAAUCAAAGAAGCGCCGCUAUUUAAAUCUCGAGAGCCAAAUCCCCAAUAGGAUUUCUUGUUCAAAAAUUGAAGAGGCAACGCUCUCCGAAUCUCAAGAGCUAAAUCCCCAACAGGAUUGCUUGUUCAAAAACCAAAGAGGCACCGCUCUCCGAACUUCGAGAGCCAGAUUUCCUUGGAUAGAAUUUGUCUGCAAUCUUCACACGCAACAUCAGCUUUCCAGAUACCACAUACCACUUUUUCAAAGUGCUCUGACAAAGUUACACAUGAAGCUUGCAACUCCCACUACAUUGCUAUGACCAAGACGGGUAAAUGAAUAGCAUUACUAUUUGUUGUUAGGAAGACUCCUAUAUAUGUCGACCUUCAUCCUCCACGGACAGGCAGACAUACAAAAAUGCUCAACCCUUCCUCAUAUCUGAGAGGGCACUCCCAACGAAGCCUCUCGAAAUACUCAGCUUUCUUCCCCCCAAUAAUACCUAUGCAAACCAGCCACACCAGAGCAAGAGUAUCUCAUAUCAUCAGGGUCAAAAGCAAGAGUAUCUCAUAUCAUGCUUUUUCCCUUCCAUUUCCUUUGCCCUUGUUCUUACCUGCAAGACAAUGAGAAAGAGAGCAAUCAGUCAACACUUGGAAUCAAGCUUCUAGUCAGGAACUGACUGCCUGGAACCCCUUGCAUGAUUACUUACCUGGCAUUGCUCUCGAUUACUCAACUUCAACAUCUUAUGCUUCUAGAGAAGAUACCACAUCUAUCUGAGGAACAGAUAGGGCAAGUGAGAAGGAUAUAAGAAAGCAUGUGGAAACAAGCAUAACAGAACACGUGCUGAUACAUCCACUACUUUGUCAACAGAAAAAGUAUCUCAUAUCAUCAGGGUCAAACGUACUCUAGAUUUGAUGGACUUGUUUUGACCCUCAAAUUCUUGAGUCGGCCUUAUACUCUGGAGGAAACCAGAAAACCUUCCAGCCCAGUUCAAGAAUAAGUCUGUGGAAAGUUACUUCUUCAAAAGCAAAAGUAUCUCAUAUCAUCUCUUCUCAUUUUUCUUCUCUUUAUCCUUCUUGCUGCCUGCAAGAUAAGGAGAAUGAGAACAAUCAGCCGGAACUCGAAAUCAAACUUCUAAUCUGGGACUGAUUGCUUGGAACUCUGAUUGCUUACCUUAUCUGUCACCUCUUUCGGUAAAUCUCCUAACUCGGCGACUUGAGGGACUCCUACUACAUGGUUUGUAUCGCGCUUGACCAAGCCUGAAACUACAAGUAAGCUUCAAGUCAAAUUGAUACAUUACCUUGUGCAUCUCCACCGGUUAAAGAUACCACCUCUAGAUGGAGGAAAAGUACUUCCAGAGAAGAUGCCACAUCUACCUAUGAGACAGAUAAGGCAAGUGAAGAUGAUACCACACUUCAGUACUUAAAAGCUUCAUGAUUACUCAGCUGCUUGGAUCUUGCAAGUCCCCAACCGAGGAGCUUCCCUCACUCGGGAACUUAGGGGAGCACUGUUUGUACCAUACUUAACCAAUCCCGAAACUACCGAGCACCGGUCAACGUUAUACCGUCAAAGACCCAGAAGAGUUUCCUUCCAACCAGGAGGCCAAUCACAGCGCGACACGUGUUGACAUCAGUAGCCAAUUAUAGCGCGACACGUGUCGACAUCAGAAGCCAAUCACAACACGACACGUGUCAAUGUCAAAACAAAGCUAGAAACUCUCUUCUAUAAAAGGAGAUCAUUCUCCCACAAUAUUGCCUAAUGUCAUUUGUACUACAUCACUCACUAGUACUCACUAAAGGAGAGCUUGAACCAAUGUACUUGUGUAAACCCUUCACAAUUAAUGAGAACUCCUCUACUCCGUGAACGUAGCCAAUCUGGGUGAACCACGUACAUCUUGUGUUUGCUUCCCUGUCUCUAUCCAUUUGCAUACUUAUCCACACUAAUGAUUGGAGCAAUCUAGCGAAAGUCACAAACUUAACACUUUCUGUUGUACCAAAGUCCUCACUGAUUUUGUGCAUCAACAAGGGUCUACCACUUGAAUAUUGUAACAUUGAGAUGUGGAGGCAAUUGAAGAUUAGAGUUUGAUUAUCAAGGAAAUGGAAACAAGCUUCAGGCUUGGUUUGAGAUGUGGAGGCAACUGCUGAUACAUAUAUGUUUGGAUGUUAUGUUUAGAAUUAUUUAAUUUUGCAUUGACAUGGUUAAAAUUCUAGAAAGAAAAAAACAUGAGAUUAUUCCUUGUUAUGAUGUUCAAGAUAUGAACUGUGAUAGCCACAACUAUUAUGUCGUAUUUUAGAAGAAUUACUUGUUGCCUUUAGCAACAAUUUGAUUUUGUUGAAAAGAAGGAAGAAAGAUGCUAUUUGUGGCAUUUGUUAUGCUAUUUGUUUCAUAGGAAAUCUGGAAAAAUCUACCAUAAAUCCCUCCAAUUUUUUUUUUCGUCAGCAAAAUCAAUUCCAAAUGAAAGAUUAAUGAGGCUUUCAAAAAAAAAAGUUUAAAAAAUGAAAAUGCUCAAAGUCCAAGCAUUCUCACCAAUUUAUUUUAGUCAUUAAAAGUAUACUUAAUGAGGUUUUCAAAAUUCUAGGCACAUUAAAAACAAUAUAAGGGAAAAUUCAGAAAUCAUAUUAAAAUAAUUAAAAUAGAUAAAUCAGAAAUAUGUAAGGAGUGUGGAUUGAGAUUUUGGGGGUGUCAAUAACAGCUUCCUAUGAAAUUUUCUUGGUUAUUCUGUACUAAAAUAUAUAAAUACAAAUAUAUAUAUAUAGAACUGUUAUUAGCACUCCAAAAAUCUCAUUUUACACUCCUCACAAGUGUAUUUUUCUUUCCAAUUAUAGAAAGUUUGGAGGGUCAAAUGAAAUUUUUGAAGUGCUAAUAACAAUUAUAUAUAUAUAUAUAUAUAUUUGUUAAAUAGUUUUAUUAUUUUUUUAAAUUUUGGAAAAUAAUUUAUAACGGACAUUAGCUGUGGUCAAUUAGUAAUCGACAAUGGUCAUAGCACAUGGUGUUAAACCCCAAUCCACCAAGGGUACAAUCCAUGGUUAUAUUGCAAUUGACAACGGGUAUAGCCUAUCCUAGAAAUUGAGACUUUUUAUUACAUCUAGAAUACUAACGGACACAGUAUCCGUGGUGGAUUGUAAUUUAUCACGAGUAGGGGUAGUAUUGGUACAAUUACCGUACCAAAACCCAUGUACCAACCAUAUGAUAUGACAAAUCUAUUACCAUUACCAUGCCAAACUCUCGGUAUACCGAAUUUCGGCAUGCCAAAUGGUUUGAUUGGCAUGGUAUGGUAAUGAUAAUUACCACUUUGUUUUGGGCCAAAAUUUGAUUUUUUCUUUUUCUUUUUCAACCCAAUUCAAGGCCCAAACGUGUUUUGGCCACUCUUUUUGGCUUUCUAAAACUUUUUAAUUUAAUUAUGAGAAUUUUAUAGAGAUUCAUUUAAGAAACAAGAAGUAAAUAGAUAGAAGAAUUGCUGAGAAAACCCAACAUCCCUAAAAAAAAUAGUACAAAGAUUCUUAAAUUCCAUCUCUACAUUCUUUGUACAAAAAUUAACUUGAUAGACGAAGCUAGGGCGAAAGACAUCCCAAUUUGAUGAAGGAGAAGAUGAGAUGGACUGCGAAAAGAGAGAGUCGCUGGAAUGGGAGCAAUAGAGAUGAAGCAUAUGGCUAAGAGUCGCAGAGCAAGAAGGCUUAUGUUUUUAUUGGGAAAGUAGAGGUUAAACGGUGAGAUGAUUUGAUAAAUGACUAGGAAAAAAAAUAUAACAUGCAUAUAUAAUGAUAAUAAUACAUAAUUAUAUAUAUAAAUGAAUAAAUAAAUGAUAUAAUAUUAAUAGUAGUGGCACGGUACGGUAUACCAUUGGUAAGUUUUAAGUAUCAUUAUCGUACCGAAAAUGUAUGGUACGAUAUAAAUACCAUACCAUUACCAAUGGUACAAAUUUUUUGACACAACUUUAGUAUGGUACGGUUGGUAAUUCAGUUGGUAUGAUAAUUUGGCAAAAAAUCCACCCCUCACAGGCAUUCAUCGUAAUGGAUGGACUUUUUUUUCCUAAUAUAUACCACUUAUGUUACGAGCAUAAAGAAAAAUUUCUCUAAACAAGGAGCAAGUGGGAAUAAUAAAUCUCAACUUUAGCACGUAAACGUAGAUAACAAGACGAGUAAAAGCAUCGAGGCAACGUUCUCCGAGAAGCUUUCAGGAACAAGAUCCGUUGACCACGAAGUAGACUUUCCUGUGCAUAGUCGACUUGGUGGGAGGUUUGCUCGUGGGGCCAUUUGAUUGGUGGGACAAAGACGUCCGUAAUUAUAAUUAUAAUGAUAGGAUUGAUUCCUCUACUCUAGAUUGAAUUGGAGCUGAAUGAUUGAAUUUGUACGGCCCUGAUUGGGCGGAUUCCGCAUUGGUCAUCAUGGCUUUGAUUGAUUAAAUGGACGUCCAGCUAGCUUGAAUUGGAACUGAAUGAUUGAACUUAAACGGUCCUGAUUGGGCGGACUCCUCUUUGGUCAUCAUGGCUCUGAUUGAUAUCAGUAUAAAGAAAGACAUUGACCAUUCUGGUUUCCAAUUCUCUCCAUCUACUGUUUUUGAGCAGAUCGGCAAAACUUGAAGAUGAACAAGUAAGUCAACUUCAAACUCCUCCGAUCCUUAUUUUUCUUUGAAUCCUUUGUCGUUGAUUGAUCUUAUAUUGUCUUGAUUAAGCAGACAUUGUUCUGAAAUGGCUGAAGGUGUUUUUUAAAAUCGUUGAUUGAACAAGUUAAAGCUCUUACGGUUAAAUCUGGCAAAAGAAAAUUACAAAACGCUUUUAGAUAGUGUAAGCUCUUUUCGGAAAAGCACUUGCUAUGGCUAGACUUUUACCAAACACAAUUUUAGCUCCAACUUUUCUAAAAACUGUUUUUAAAAAUAAAAUUGAGCAACCUCAGACCCGCCCAUGUCAACCUUCAAGUUUUCAAGUGCUUUUUGAAAGAGCACUUGAGUAUUUAAUAAAUAUGUCUAAUCUGUUCAUAGUAAAAGAGAACUGCUUAUGAGUAGAGUGUUUCUUACGAGUACAAUGGCUUUAUAAUCGUCCUUAUAAUUUACCAAUGUGUUUUGCUAAAGUGACUUCACUAGAAAUACGACGAAAGUUCUUUAGAAAACACUUCUCCGACUCGUGUACAUUUUUAAGUUUUUCUUUCAAUAUAAUGAAAAACACUUUUGAUCGUUAGAGUGACAUUGUUAGCUAUUUCAAAAACAGUUUCAAACGUAUUUGUUAUGGUUGGGUGUUAUUGGCUUACAUCCUCCAUUUAACUUUGCUUCAAUAUUUUGUUGGUGAUGACAGUAUUAGCAGUGCUGGGCUUGAACUAGCAAAUGUGCUGGUGACUUCUCCUCCCCUGCACCAGUCAUGGGCAGCUGUUCAGAAGCAAAAGCUCAACACAGCUCCUGAUCCGAAUACGCAAACGGCCUUAUAUGUUACUGAAACCAAGCAUUCAAACACCACCAUCAUAUCUUUUCUUACUUCACCCGUCAUGCUUCAAGAUCCACAAGCAAUGAUUUCGUCGUUGACUCUGAGGGACAAAAAUUUUCCCCUCUUUGAGUUUUUGUGCAGCAAAAACGCCCCAAUUUUCUCCGUCAAUGAAUUGGCAAUCGAAUUCUUCGCCUUGAAUCACAACGACCUCAACCUCGAUCUUCUGAGGACAAAGGUGCAUAUUGUUGUCUCUCUGAUAACUGAUUGUGUUUAACUGCUUAGACUAUUAAUGUUAGUGAGAAACAUUUAAAAAUCAUGUUUAUAAAUGUUAGAUUAUGUUGGCGCGAAACACUUACAAACCCUUGAUUAAUACUGUUAUAAGGGGCAUUUAUUGCAUCGUAUUAUCUCAGACUUGACUAGCUUGCUUGGUUUGGACUUAAGCAUGAUAAGAAUAGGGGCUCAAAAAAUUAAUUUCAAUUUUCUUUUAGUUUUUUUACUUCUCCCUCCACCAGUUACACACCUCACUCAAUAAAAUGUCCUACGAACACCAGAACUUCACUAUGCACUACGUGCAACGAACAUAAUUAUAUUUUCCACUUUGUAAUUGUGCAGAGACUUUCAUAAUUUUCUUUCAAAUUAACACUACCAAUCUUUAUUAGAACCAAAAAAUGGAAAAACUUAUUGAUUUGCACAAUUUACUAGAUUUUAAAAUUGCCAGAUACUUUUUAUGAAGGGAAAAAAAAACAAACUUUAACGAAAAGCAUUCGGUACUGUUCACUUUAACGAAAAACCACAUUUUUGCCCUAAAAAAUCAAUCCUGGUACUAUUCACUUUAUCAUUUAUUUUGUCCUUAUCAUUAAAACUCAAAGUUUUCAAGUCUCUUUCAUUAGUUUUCUUAAAAAAAAAUUAUGCGUGAACAACACUUCUCACAAAAAAAAAAAAUAAUGAAAUAUAUAAAUACAUACCAAAGUAAAUGUUUGCACACACUAACAUGCAAUAUAUGCAGUUUUUCAUUUUGUCAAACAAAUACAACAUAGCACAUUAAAGACAUUUUGUAAAUCCUAUGGGUUGGUUAAUAUGGGCAACAACCUUGGGUUUGGUUGUCAAGUACUUAGCAGGAUCUUCGAAAUUGUUCCAUAACACUGCUCCGAAAUUGCAUUCUUUAAUCCCUGCUUGCAAAUGCAAAAGUGGUUAUCAAUCGCUCCCUACUACUGUAAAAGGGAGAUAAUGAUAGAACUAAUUCAAUGUGAAAAACUAUAAGCUUCAAUGAAAUCAAAUGACAGGAGAAAAUUAAUGCAAGUCACCACUUCUUGAGGAUGAAGAGGGAGAGCAUCGAUGAAUAUUUUACUUCAAAUUAAGGGAUUUCUUCUAAGGAGGUUUAUAGGGUUACCUAUUUGCAAGAUGACAUUUAUGUAAACCUGUGUGGAUAACGGAGAACAUGUAGUUAAUAUAUUAUAGUUGAGAAAAGCUAUCUUUCUUCUUGUAGUUCAUUUGUAAAUUUAUAAGAAUACCUCAUGUUUAUGUAUUACCAUCACCCAGCUUUAAACCAUAUAAACAUGUGUGGAUGACUGAUUUUGUAACGUAAAAGAUAGAAAAUCAAGAUGACAUUUAGAAGUCAAGAUAAGUAGGAAAGGGAUGCAAAAAAGAAGUGGGAAAGGGAUGCAAGAUAAGUGGAAGUCACAAAGCGGAUAGCUUUUCAUAUGGCCUCAAGGUUGAUAAAUUUACAAUGGUUAAGGAUGCAAAUCCGAUAUCUCCAUAAGUUUGAGUCAGUAGAGGCACUUGAAAAUAGAAUGAUAAGAUGGUAACUUCAUUCUGGUUAAUCGAAUGUUUUAGCUAGCAGCAAGUGGGUCAAGGCUCGAUGCCAAAGUCAUAAACUAUGGUUUUAAAGCACAUUUCAGCCACCAAAACCCAGAGUACUCAUGUCAAAUAUUAACAGCCAAAAUCCUGAGUACACACGAUAAACUAUAAUUCAUUAAUGGGAAUGAAACAUCUGAGAAAAUGUGAACUCAACAACCAAAACCCAGUGUACCCAUGUCAAAUAUUAACAACAAAGGAAUUUAUGUAUGUAUGUCAGGAAUCAAACAAAAAAUUAUCACCCAAAAUAAAAAUCAAUCAGGGGUGCUUUAUGUAAUAGGAAGCCCAGAACCACUGUUCUAAGUGUUAGGCGGUUGGCCACCACCCCGAUUAAUGCCUAGACAUUUGAAAAUUAAGAAAGGGCGUAUUGACUUGUUGAGGCACCCUCCUAGACCGCCUCGAGACCCGCCUAGACCGCCUAACCCGUCUAGAUCUGCCUAGGCAUCCGCCUAGGUCACAACUCACUUAAACAGAAAAUAGAUCACUUUCAUUUUGCAUUUUAUUUUUCAAUAAAUUGUAAGAGACUUGUUGCAUACUUAAAUGAACACACAUUAUAUCCUUGUUCCCCAUGAUUUCAUUAUGUUUCAAUACUUCAUAAUGUAUAUGUCAUUCUAUUUUGUAGUUUAUGAUGAAAUUAUAUAUAUUUUAAAUAUAAAUACGUACUUAUUUACACGAAAUAUAAUAGAUUUUACUUAAAUCCGCCUAGUCCGCCUAGGCCCCGUCUAGCCGCCUAGGUUCUUGGUCCAAACCCGCCGCCCUACUAGCGCCUUUUAGAACCUUACCCAAAACAAAAUAAAAAAACGGCUAUAUGGGUUAUAGAUCAGAAAAUGGUGCUUUUGCAUGCUCAAAAGAUUGUUAAAAGGCCAUAAAAUGGUGAUUAUUAUGUAACCAAAUUGGAGAAUUUUGGAUAAGAUUAAACAACAAUAAGCAGGGAACAAAGAAAAAAUUGCAAUCAAUUUACAAAAACUUAGCAAUAAGUUCACAUAAGGAAAAAUAGCAGAUAAAUUGGGUAGCAAUCAAUUAAAAAGCGCACCCAAUCACAGAACACAAAUGUACACGCACCCAAUUUUUGUGCUAGAAAUUCAAAAUUUUUAGAGAUUUCGCAUGCAAACAAUGAAAUCAAUCAAAACCCAAUAAUAAUUACGAUCUGCAAAACAAAAUUGAAGAAAUUGAUUGUCAAAUUCAGAAUUUACCAAACAGGACGAGGAUGAAGGAGCGGGACGAGGAUGAGGGAGCAGAAUGAGCAUGACCAGGAUGGGUUAGCAGGACCAGGACGAGCGAGCAACUGUCUCGAAGAUGGUCGUAGCAAUCCGAUGAUAUUGGGGUUCUCGCUAAGAACUUCUAGUGAAGCAGUUUGUUGGAGCAAGUUUGACUUAAUCCCAUUAAACUUAAUUCUUCUGUCUAACAAACACAAGAUUACACUAACAAUUAGUCCUAUUCAGUUCAAUGAGAUCUAGUGAGCCUAAACAAACACACCCUAAGAGCUUAAUGUAGUAACAGUUGAGUCCCUUCCCCCUUUAAAGAAAAUUAAUGAAAAAUGCUUCAAAACUUUACAUUUUAAUAAAAAAUUAUUUAGUAACUUUAUUUAAUGAUAAAGAUAAAAAAAAUAAAAAAUUUAAACAUGCAUGUGCCUAGCCCGCGUCCCCCUCUCCCCCCCCCCCCAAUAUAACCAAAUAAGAAAAAGUAAAUGAAAACACACUACACAUACAUAUGAUAUUAUGUAUGAAUUAGCUAACUGUAACAACGAUGACACCUAUUUUUAGGCCUUUGACAAAAUAAGUUAACACAAACACACGUCUGGUGCUAUAAUCUCGUAAGUUUCACAAACAGUGUAGUACUAUUAAAUUUCAUAAACAAUGUUAAGUUUCAUAAACAGUAUAGUAAGUUUCAUAAACAAUGUGUAUGUAGACGCACGGUCCCCUGCGUUAGUUUUUUUUUUUUUUAAAUUAUGUCUUUUUCAUUAAAAUUUAAAGUUCUUUUGUCAUUUUUAUUAAAGUUUAAGAGUUUUUCAUUAAUAUUUAAGUAUUUUUUAUUAAAUAAAGUUAUAGCAUGAUUUUUUGUUAAAAUAAAUUUAAUCAAAUGCCUUUUCAUGAAAGUUCCCUUUCUUUAUUGUUUCAAAACCGAGUUUUAAGUAUUUUUUUUUUUCUAAUAUGAAUGAAGUUCUGAGGACCUUAUUCGUAGAGACGUCUCCGAACUGAUUAAAUGGCAGUUCAGUAAUUGACUAACUUUUAUGUAAUAUUUCAGCUGGUAGAAAGAAGCAAAUCCAACUCAUUGGUACUUGUCACUGGACAAUCUUUUGGAGGCGCUGUAGCUACCCUUUUCACCUUAUGGCUGCUAGAAAGCCUCGACUUAUCGAAAGUGAAACGUCCCCUUUGUAUCGCUUUUGGUUCACCUUUGAUCGGUGACAAACAAUUCGGACAAUGUGUGUUGCAAUUCCCAUUGUGGAGUUCUUGCUUCUUGAAUGUAGCCUCCAUCGAUGAUCCUGUACUUCAAUUCUUCCAAACCGCUUCGCAAGCGAGUGGUUAUAAGCCUUUCGGAACAUUCCUACUGUGCUCCUCUUCGGGUGGUUCUUGCUUUGAGGACCCUGAUGCCAUUUUGCAACUAUUGGUGGAAACCAGCUCUCGGUGUGCCCAAAAUCCAGGUCUGAAUUCAGGGAUUCAGUUGUUCGAUUACGGAAAGAUUUUGAAUGAUCUCAAGACUAAGGCAUUGUCUAGAGAUGUCUUUGAGUUGGUUGAAGAGGAUAGAGUUCCACUUAAAGCUGGAAUUAAAACACAGUUGGCAGCAAUAUUAGGAGUUCUCAGCUCACAGGUAUCAAACUUUCAACAGAAAUAUCUGAUUUGAUGAUGAUUUUGGGAAAUGGGUUCCGCACAAACCUGUUUAUUUCCAUCUCUUGAUUCUCCUUUGAUUUAUUUAAUCCAAAGACUAGAAAUAAACACGGGUGUGCAGGGGGGGAAUAUGAGAUUGCGGAAAUCACACCCCAUGUUUUGCUUCUAGCUACUAACUUUUCUCUCAACUACUUUUGUAAAAGUCAUUGCAGCAGCAACAACCCAACAUAGAAUUCGAAAGUCUGAUGAAAAAGAUGGUCACUCACGAACGUAAACUAGCGAUGCAGAAGACGAAGGUUUACAGUUCCUACUUGAAACUGAAUGAGAUGGAAAAGUACAUGGCCUACAUGGAAUGGUACAAGAUGUCGUCCGAAGACAUGGGAAUAGGAUACUAUGACAGGUACAGAAACAAGCGUUACGCGAGUGACAUUAUGGCCGAAGAGUACAAGAGGACGCUCUCAAGGUAUUGGCAUGACACGGUUACAGAAGCUGCGAACAAGCCCCGGCAAGAAGGAGCCGCAAUGCCAGCCCCUUUUCUUUUUGCUGGAACGAAUUACAGAAAGAUGAUCGAACCACUUUGCAUUGCAGAGUACUACAAGGAAGGUGGAAAAGAUUACAUAGAGGAAAGGCCUGGACAUUUCGUUCUUUUGGAGCAAUGGUACAAUGAAGAGGAGGAAAAUAAGAAGAAAGAGAGGGAAGAAAAGGAGAACCCACAACUGCGCAGCGCAAGCAAGCCCAAUUCAAAAGCGAAGAACGAGGCUCCUAAUCUGAAUGAUGAUUCUUGUUUUUGGGCGCACGUCGAGGAAGCGCUUAUCUGGUGCAACGAACAAGCGAGUAAUCCAGAUGCUAAGCCAAUGACCGAAUAUGAGCUUUACGUUCUGAAUAUGCUCGAGAAUUUCGCAGUUACGGUUGAUAUUUUCUUGAAAAAUAGCAGCUUCAUGCAUUGGUGGAACAAGUAUAAAGUAAUUGUGGGAAGCAACUACUCCUCAGCAUUUACCGAGGUCAUGAAGCGUAAGACUUAUCGCAAAUAUGCGGAUGGGGUCUCAGUUCGUACUGAUCAAUAAUCCAAUAUAAUUAAGUUUUAAGCAAGCAAUUAAAUCAGAUAAAGCAAGAUUAAUUUUGCUGUAUCGCUUAUGAUCUUCAUAGAGAGACGUGCAUUACUUGCAGGGCUUGUUGGUGCUACUAGUACUACUUUUGGAUAUUUUAAUUUGUUUGUGGUUUCUUUUUGUGUGGGGGUAAUGUUUCAAGGGGUAAAUCUCAGUUUAGUAUUCUUAAAUUUUGUGUUUUUCAACAUGUAGUACAUUAAGUUAUUUUUGUCUCCGAGUUAUACUUAAAUUGUUAAUUUUGGGACAGUCUCAUACAUCCGUUAGUCUGACUGUUAAGUCUCCCAUUAAUUGAUGAUGCGACGCCUAUGUGAACAAUAACUGGACGUCAUGUGUCAUUAAAAGGUUCACGUGGAAAUUCAAAAAAAAAAAAAAAAAAAAACCGAAAUUUCAAAAUUCAAAAUUUUAAAAUUUCAAAAAUUAAUAAAUUAAAAAAAGGUGGGGAUAAUUUCUUCCUCUAUCCCCGUCCCUUUUUCUCUCUUAUGCAAUUAUUGAGCUCUCCUUUGAAUCUCAGAUCCCCAGCAACCCUUGCCCUUGCGACCUUGUAACCCUUAGCAGAGGUUUGCAAACCUCGUAACCAUCGCCUUUUGUUACGAUCCAAUUCUCUAAACCCUUAAUCAACUGGCAAGUAACACAGAGGGUCGAGAGGAGGAGGGAAGGAGGAAGGUAGAAGGAGCGGAGCUCCAAUAUUUUUGUUUAUAUUUCUUUUUGUGUAAAUUCUCAUCUGAUUACAAUAGUGAGAGCUAGUGCUCUUGAGUCUUAUACAAGUCACAACUCAUCAUGCCAGCUAGCUAAUUAUAACAAACUUCACUAAAACAGGAAUAAGCCUAAUAAUCCCAAGAUUAAAACCCUUAAUAGUGAUUAAGCUAAUCACUAAUUACAGAUCAUAUCAUUACUCCCCCCUUGAAAAACAACCUUGUCCUCAAGGUUAGGAUUAGCACUUGAAAUCUGGAACUUUUUCGCAGUGAAUUCAUCAUAAGCCUCUUUGCUUUUAUUGUCUGACCAAGGCACUGCACCAAAACUUGGACUGCAAAAACCUUGGUUGAUAUCUGCAACCUAUCCCAGAUGCUGAAAAAAAAAAAAAAGAGAACAAGCUUUGGAGAUGACUCCCCGCGAAGCCUUGAUGUCUCAGCUGGAAAGAAUUUCUCCCCGUCAUGUGAUGUAUGCAGAUUAUCCCUUACAAUCAAUUCUGGACCUUCCAAGCUGAGUCUCCCUGAAACAGAUGGGAAAUUUAUUAGAAAAAUAGAUCAGCCCACAUGUGUGUAAUCUAUAUACAAAAAAUCACUCUCUUCAUUAGCCAAAUCGUUUCACAAAUCCCAAAACACAGAACUAUAUCUUGAACAGUGCUAAUUAAUGAUUUCCCAUUUACUUAAGCCCAACAUCAGCGCCAAUGAACUGAUGAAAGAGCGAAAAAGAGAAACAAAAAACCUCAAUGAAGCAAUUAAAUGGAGAAUUACUUGAUAGUGCUGGAAAAUUACUACAAAACGUUUGAAAAUUACCCAUUAAGAUUAUAAAAAAUUAAAAAAAAUUAAAAAAAAAAGAUGAUGUGGAGUGGAGUGGGAAUCACAUACCGCCAUCACCUUUAAAUAUGUAGUGCUCCCCUGAAAGAGCAUCAAGAGUGACUGUGCAGAGAAACGAAUGAUUGAAAAAUUCAAGCUCUGAGCUCAAAGUUGGGGCUUCCACUUUCCAACUGGGGAAGAAAUAAUAAAGAAAACACAGAAUCCAUCAAAAAUAUUAAUCAAAUGGGUUUCUUCUAAUUCAAAAUUUGGACCACCCAAAUUCUGAUGAAGAAAUAACCAUUCAAAAUUCCAACAGAUUGAAGCUCUCACAGACUACAAAUUAUCAAUACCCAGCAAUAAAAAAUUUGAAAACAGUAAUAAUGAAGGAAAAAGAAAUUAAAGCUGCGAGCCAUUCUCUAAAUCUCAGGCACCAAUCCAAAUCACCAGUAAUUUGCACAUAAUGAUAAGAAUCUAGCAGUAUUUCCAUUGUUUAAAACCCAAAUUCUAGAAAUCAUGAAAAAUGGAAACUUUAUAUGGAAAUUGAAGCUUUACCUGCAGAUUAGCAGCAGCAAACGAAUCCAACGGCAUAUACCUCAAAAGUGAGUGACAGAGAAAGAGAGAGCUAAGAGAUGAGUGAGAGAAUCGAUAAACAAAAACCCCCAUAACCACAAAAGGAAAUUUGAACAAAAACAAAUAUGCAAAUCCAAAAUCACAAAAACGAAAUGAAACACCCACACCGAGAAAGUUGUAAAACUCACCAGAAGCACAGUGCUUCCCAAAAUUCUAGUUGUUUCACUCCUCUCUUCCCCAAAUUUACAGGUAUGUUUUUCUUUUCUGUAAUCUGAUUAUAAAUUAUUAAAGAUGAUUACACGAACCACCGAAAUCACCACCAAAUUUCAACAAAGAAGUAACUAAGCACAACAAAAAGAAGAAGAAAAAAAAGGUUAAACUCUGUUUACUACCCUCAUGUUUCGUGGUUUUCAACAUUUAGUACAUCAAGUUUUUUUCGUCCCAGAGUCAUACCUAAAGUGUUAAUUUUGGAACAAUCUCAUACAUCUGUUAGUCAAACUGUUUAUUCUCCCGUUAAGUGAUGACGUGGCACCUAUAUGGACAAUGACUGGACUCCAGGUGUCAUUAAAUAUAUUAAAAUAAUUAAUUAAAUAAAAGUUUUAAAAAAAAAACCCAUCCCUCCUUCCCCCCUCCCCCAACCCAACCCAACCCAGAAGAAGAAAAAGGUGGAGGAAGAAAAGGGAGAAAAAGAAACCAAAUCUGGGAAGAAGAAGAAGGAAAAAAAAACCGAAUUUGGGAAGAAGAAGAAGAAGAAGAAGAAUGAGGAGGAAGAAGAUGAAGAAGACGAAGAAGAAGGAGGGAGAAGAAGAGAAAGAAGAGGAAGAAGAAGAAGAAGAAGAAGGAAGAAGAAGAAAAAAAAAACCGAAUCUGGGAAGAAAAAGAAGAAGAAGAAGAAAAAAAAAACCGAAUCUGGGAAGAAGAAGAAAGAAGAAGAAGAAGGAAGAAGAAGAGGAAGAAGAAGAAGGAGAAGGAGGAAGAAUGAUGAAGUAGAAGAAGAAGAAAAAAAAAACUGAAUAUGGGAAGAAGAAGAAGAAGAAGAAGAAGAAAAAGAAAAAAAACAGCAGCCCAAACCCAGUUCGUCCCCCUCCCCCCUGCAACCCACCUGCCUUCUCCCUCGUCCCGCGAACACGACCCACCUGUCUUCCUUCUUCUUCUUCUGGGUUACAAAUUCGAUUUUUUUUCUUCUUCUUCUUCUUCUUCUUCUUCUUCUUCUUCUAGGGGGGGCGGGGGAGAAGGAUGGGGUUUUUUUUUAAUUUAUAUUUAAUUAAUUAUUUUAAUUUUUUUUUAAUGAGACGUGGCACCCAGUCAUUGUCCACAUAGGCACCACGUUAUCACUUAAUGGGAUAAUUAACAGUUUGACUAACGGAUGUAUGAGACUGUCCCAAAAUUAACAUUUUAGGUAUGACUCUAGGAUGAAAAAAACUUGAUGUACUAAAUGUUGAAAACCACGAAACAUUAGGGUAGUAAACAGAGUUUAAUAAAAAAAAAUCAAAUAUUUGGCUUUUGGGUAUUUGAGAAAAAGUGAGAUUUAAUUACCUGUCACAGGCUACAGUAAUUGGGAGCACGAUGGGGCGGCGAGGAGAUUGAACAGAUAAGGAAGCAAAGAUCGAACAUAUAUCACGAAGCGGAAUCAAAAUCGUCAAUCGUGUUGCAGAGCACAGUUUUUUCCUUUUUGGAUUUCUGCGGUUUCUGAGGAAGAAGUCGAGAGACUUAUUGGACACCUAAGGUUAUAACCGACCUUUUAAUGUGUAAUGUACACAAAAAAGCAAGACUUGAAGAGCAACUGAAGGGCAAAAUGGGAAGAACAUUGUCGAAGGAACAGUGUUUCAGUUCUUUUUCUCUUUUAGUUAAUAUAAUAUAAUUGCUAUGCUAAAACCCAUAGUUCAGAGAAGAAUCUUGCAUGAUCACUAACAACGUAAGGGAAAAUCAAACUUUGUGUUGCUUGUUUUAUGAAUCUCUUUAUUUUUUAUUUCAAAUUUAUGAGUGUCUCACUUUUCCACAGUUUCUAAUCUGUUAUUGUUUUGGGAAAGUGGUUAAAAUGGUAUGAAAUCAUAUCUCAAUUCUCAAUUUCUGAACUUAUCAAAAUCAAAUAUCGACAACAUACUGAAAAAUUGAUAAUUUCAGUGAUUGGGUAAAAAAUGAUCAUUUUAGCCAAAUUCCCUCUUAUUUUCUGUUGUCGUAAUUUAGAUUGCAACUUUUGUAAGUUUUUCUGAUUUUGGUGUUGGUUUUUGUAGUUAAGUAUCAAGGAAUGUGUCAAGCCCCUAUUUGGACAUUCGUUUAGAAUCGACACGUGACGUCACCAAAUACCUGUACAUCUACCAUACCCUACUUCCAGGAUACGGGCCAAACACAACUCACGAUCCAAAAGCAUAGUAAUUUUUUUCGUAUACUUUAUGGCUGCAUCUAACCUCCUCAUUAGAUUGCCUACGUAUCAUAAACAGGGAUCAAGCCAUUCAUAGUUCGUCCUUCACUACCCUUGAACAAUCAUCACAUAAAUAAAUAUGUCUCAAUAUAAUACCUUCAUCCAUACCAUGUAACAUAUCAAAUAACAAACGAAGCACAGUAAUAUUCUCUAGUCAUGUUGCCAUUCACCCACACAUAUGUUUUCCAACACCAUCCAACAAUCACACCAAUCAAUAACACAUACAAUACAUCGACAUGCAGGGCUAAAGUGACAAAGUUCGGUCGAAACCUACAUCUCUAAAGCUGAAAUCGAAUCCAAGGAACCCAAACCACCCCUAGCUCGUCCCAUAUUCCUUCACGAGCCCAGAGCUUAAACUCGAGCAACUCUCGGACCUCACAUCAGAGAAAACAGGAAAUGGAGAACUACGACAAGUUCUCAAAUUCUUUCGACCGAGGUAAAACUCGAAAUACCUUCAAUCUCUACCCUUUUGAUGUUCUGAUUCAAUUUUUGAGUUGUAUACGUGUUGUGACGACGUUUAGGUGCAAAAAUCACUCGAGGAUGAACUCCCUAGUUUUCUGGCGAAGUCCGCAAGUUUCAGACCAUUUUUCUGGCCAAAACCUUUGGGCCAUUGUUCUAGCCCAACCCAACAACUCAGUCAACCUAAUCUAACCUAGCAAACCUGGCCUAACCUAGUGACCCGGAUCUGUGAAACCUGCCCAAGCCUAGAUUCGUGGGCCAGAUCCACCCUGGGAUCCGGCCCGACCCAAUUCCCAAAUGGAUUUGAAAUAUUCCAGAAUAUUCCAAGAAUAUUCUUUGGAAUAUUCCUUGUGUUGACUUUUAUGAUAUUUUCUCACGAACCUUCUUAGACUAAUUUCGACGCCUUGAGUCCGUUUUUGACAUCUAUUUAGUGAAAUUAUAAAGAUUUAAUAUGGUUGACCGGCUCGGUGUCUCGAUUCACUUUUUGGGUCAACUGUUGACUUUUCGUUGACUUUUUACAAAAUUUACCCGGGACUUCUCGUAGGGUAAUUCGACGCGCUGAUUCUGAAUCUGCUGUCUGUUUCUCCAAAUUCAAAUGUUUUAAUUAAGUUUUUACUAAUGGGCCUCUAUUAUGCUUAGGUACUCUUUAGCAUUGGCGAAUUCUUAUUUACAUGUCUGAAUGUCAGUAACCUUGCAAGUACCUGUGAGUGGACCCCUUCUCAAAUUGCAUGUUUUCAUAACUAUUAGGCUUGCAUUCAUGAAAAUAAUAUUUUUUAUAAUUCUACAUUUUAUGAAUUAUUUAUGCUUCAUAUUUGAUUUAUAUUGCUUUCACGAAGUCUUUAUGAAUUAUCUUAAUAGAUUUUGAAGAAUUAUUUAUAAUCCAUUGGUUUAAUGUUUAUGAGAACUCGUAUUUAUGGAAAUCACGUUUAUGGAUUUAUAAGAUUUGAGAUAUGUUUUAUAUACUUAUCUAGUGGGUUAUCAUACAACACAUACACACAACCUGACUAUGUAGACGUCUAUGGCCAUAGGACACAGUUGAGGAUAUUUAUGACAUACUCCCAGCUUUACUGGCGAAACCAGUGUCGGACAACUUUAAUAGCCACGGCUAGUGUCGGUAUGUUAUGUUUAUAGUUAUAUUUUCUUCUCUCGCGUAACCCAGAGUCGUAUAGCUUCACCUUCGGGUGAUGGGACCUACCAUGUUUCUUCACCGGCAUAACCUAGAGUCGUACAACUUCACCUCCAGGUGAUGAUUAUGCCUUCGGGCGACUAUGAUACCCCUAGUUGAGUAUAUCACAGAGUUUAUUUACGAGAUUCUCAUAUCUGCCUUCGGGUGUUACUAUCGAUUUCCAAAGAGGAUUUUAUCGUUACAAAAUUUUUAGCAUGCUAGAGUUUCCAAAAAAACUAUUAUGUAGUAUUAUAUGGGUUUUCAAAACAGAGAGUUAAUAUGUUCAGAAAAAGAAAACGUUUUUUGUAUUAUUACUACUAUUAUUAUAAAUUAUCGUCCACUUACCCUUUCAUUCUUGCGCCCCCUUCAGGAUUUAGAAUCGAGACGUACGAUCCCGGCGUCAGGGCACUUCCGUAUAGGUAUCUUUGAGUCUUCUCAGUGUAUGGCCCAUUUCCCUUGUUCGUGCCUUUUUAUAAUUAUUCUUUCACAUUAUUCUUGCUUAGUUGUAGGCUCUGAACACGUUUCCUUAAUUGCGUAUUUCUUUAUAGUUACAUAUUUUAGUCACUUUUGUUUACUGAUACCACUUGCAUGCAUGUUAAAAUGGCUUCGUCACCUUUAGGUGUCAGCCAGCAUGUGCCUACCCUAGUAUUCGAGGAUAUCGGGGUUGGGGCAUGUCAGCCUGGGUGGUCGUAGGUGCACAGGGGCGCGCGUGGGCCAUCAGACCUUGGGCCUGCGCUGCGUGCUGGGCUAGUGCUUGCUCUUCAUGGGUCUGGGCCUAGCUAGUAGUGAGUUGGGCUCGACUGGUAACGAGCUGGUCCUUAGUCGUCUGCCCAUGGGUUCUUUUUGCUGGUUGGCCAGCUCUGCUGGUCUUCCGUGCACCUGGACCUGCUGCAGUGGCUUAGGCCUCAUUCCCUGGGCCUAAUAUGGCAGCUGUCACGUUUUCGACCUCUUACAUGUGGUUCGUGAGCCCCUGUUUCAACGUAGUUGGCCAUUUGUAGCACGCGCUUGGGCCUCGGCUUAGGCUGCUACUAUGAAAUCACAUUCUUGGAUUUCACUAUUAUAAUUUCCAUGUUUUGUAUUCGCGAAAUUUUAUAUUAUUUUUUGCAAAUUUAAUUUAAUUUAGUUAAUUUAGAAUUUUAAUUCCUUAGUUACAAAGUUUGAAAUUUUGAAAAGAAUCAUUUAAAAUUUGUAGACCUUUCAAGUUCAAAAUUAAUGUUUUCAAAAAAGAUCAAUCAUACGAACGUGUAGGCAAAAGCCGUUCACGAACGGAGCUAUAACAAAGUUAUGAGUGACGAAAGUUGGAGAUAAAUGUUAAUUUAGGAAUUUCUCUAAAUGAAAACUUACUAUUUUUAUUUGGAAGAGGGACCAAUCAGAUUGGGGAAAAGCCCAUUUAAUGGGAGGAUGGACUAAUCAGAAAUGGGAGGAAGGUUGACCAAUCAGAAAAGAUAGAACCAACAGAGCCGAAUCCUCCCUCAACCCGCAGGACCCGGUUUCUGGCGACUUUUGCUUCCUUUUUUUUGUCAAUUUUUCGACGAGUUGGAGACAUCCAUCACCACCACAUGACUCAUCAACCUCCCCUCUUCAAUUCUCACCUAAACUCAACUCAGUUUUACUCUAAUUUCAUGAUGAACUCCUUCGGCGAGUUCAUGAGUCCUGCAUUGGUGAUCUGCCAUUUUUUAAAGUUAUUUUUUUUACCACCACCACCCACAAACACCCUUUAAGCCCAGGAACAUGACCCAAACAAGUUUGGGGUGAACAGAGCAACGAAGAGGAUGAAUCAAAGUGCACCAUUUUUAGGGUUUUCCGAUGGAUCGUGGUAUUAUCAGGCCUUAGACCUCGACCCAUGUAUAAAACUUACUCCCUUCUUCAAGAUCUUUAUUUUGGUAUAAUUUGAGAAAUUUUGGAGUUAGGUGAAUUUUCGAACAAAUCGGGGCGGUCAACCACCUCGUGCGGCAGCGCGUGCUGGUGGCGCAUAGCUCGAGGACCCAUUUGGUCCUUCUUGAGUACAUUUGAUGCCCAAUUCCAUAUUUGAUAUCUGAUUGAAAAAAAUUUGUCGCUUGAACAUAUUUUCGUUAGGGUCCGCCACUUGAAUAUUGUAACUUUGAGAUGUGGAGGCAAUUGAAGAUUAGAGUUUGAUUAUCAAGGAAAUGGAAACAGGCUUCAAGCUUGGUUUGAGAUGUGGAGGCAACUGCUGAUACAUAUAUGUUUGGAUGCUAUGUUUAGAAUUAUUUAAUUUUGCAUUGACAUGGUUAAAAUUCUAGAAGAAAAAAAAUGAGAAAUUUCCUUGUUAUGAUGUUCAAGAUAUGAACUGUGAUAGCCACAACUAUUAUGUCAUAUUUUAGAAGGAAUACUUUUUGCCUUUAGCAACAUUUUUAUUUUGUUGAAAAGAAGGAAGAAAGAUGCUAUUUGUGGCAUUUGUUAUGCUAUUUGUUUCAUAGGAAAUCUGGAAAAAUCUACCAAAAAUCCCUCCAAUUUUUUUUCGUCAGCAAAAUCAAUUCCAAAAGAAAGAUUAAUGAGGCUUUCAAAAAAAUUUUAAAAAAAUUAAAAUGCUCAAAGUCCAAGAAUUCUCACCAAUUUAUUUUAGUCAUUAAAAUUAUACUUAAUGAGGUUUCCAAAAUUCUAGGCACAUUAAAAACAAUAUAAGGGCAAAUUUGGAAAUCAAAUUAAAAUAAUUAAAAUAGAUAAAUCAGAAAUAUAGGAGUGUGGAUUGAGAUUUUGAGGGUGUCAAUAACAGCUACCUAUGCAAUUUUGUUGGUUAUUAUGUACUAAAAUAUAUAAAUACAAAUAUAUAUAGGGAACUGUUAUUAUCACUCCAAAAAUUUUAUUCUACACUCCUCAUAAGUGUAUUUUUUUUUUUAAUUAUAGAAAGUUUGGAGUGUCAAAUGAGAUUUUUUGAGUGUCUAUAUAUAUAUUGUUGAUGCACAAAACCGGAGGUCUUGGAACAACGUAAAUCCGACCGUGAAUCUGCAUAAAAUGUAAAUAACACAAGAUGUAUCGUGGUUCACCCCAAGGUUUGGGCUACGUCCACAUUGAUAGUUGAUUCUGUUUCUCUGUAAUUGUAUGGAUACAAGUGUUUGGGGGAAGUCCCCCGGAGGAGAAAGAAGAGAAGGGAGAGGAGAGCCUCGGUGGUGUGAGGUCUCUCCUGAAUGUAAUGAUAGCUUCUCUUAGCCUUCUUAGGCUUGGCUCUUUUGCCUCCUUUAGAAUGAGGGUAGGAGUCCCCUUUUAUAGAAUAAGGGGCUCCUCCUCUUUUACAAAGUAUGGGCUUUAGUGUGAGGCCCAAAUACAAGGCCCAAGGCCCAAAUAUACGAGGCCCUAAAUAUGGUAUAAACAUAUAUAUAUUUGUUAAAUAGUUUUUUUUUUAUUUUUUUUAUUUUUGGAAAAUAAUUUAUAACGGGCAUUAGCUGUGGUCAAUUAGUAAUCGACAAUGGUCAUAGCAUGUGGUGUUAAACCCCAAUCCACCAAGGGUACAAUCCAUGGUUAUAUUGCAAUUGACAACGGGUAUAGCCUGUCGUAGAAACUGAGACUUUUUAUUACAUCUAGAAUACUAAUGAACACAGUAUCCGUGGUGGAUUGUAAUUUAUCACGGGUAGGUGUAGUAUUGGUACAAUUACCAUACCAAAACCCAUGUACCAACCUUAUGAUAUGACAAAAUCUAUUACCAUUACCGUGCCAAACUUUCGGUAUACCGAAUUUCGGCAUGCCAAAUAGUUUGAUCGGCAUGGUAUGGUGAUGAUAAUUACCACUUUGUUUUGGGCCAAAAUUUGAUUUUCUUUUUCUUUUUCUUUUUCCACCCAAUUCAAGGCCCAAACGUGUUUUGGCCACUUUUUUUGGCUUUCUAAAACUUUUUAAUUUAAUUAUGAGAAUUUUAUAGAGAUUCAUUUAAGAAACAAGAAGUAAAUAAAUAGAAGAAUUGCUGAAAGAACCCAACAUCCCAGAAAAAAAAUACCUCAAAGAUUCUUAAAUUCCAUUUCUACAUUAUUUAAAAUUGUACAAAAAUUAACUUGAUAGACGAAGCUAGGGAGAAAGACAUCUCAAUUUGAUGAAGGAGAAGAUGAGAUGGAUUGCGAAGAGAGAGAAUCUUCGGAACGGGAGCAACAUAGAUGAAGCUGAUGGCUAGAUGAGAGAAAAAAUGAAGAGUCGCAGAAUAAGAAGGCUUAUGUUUUUUAUUGGGAAAGUAGAGGCUAAACGGUGAGAUGAUUUGAUAAAUGACUAGGAAAAAAAUAUAUAAAAUGCAUACAUAAUGAUAAUAAUACAUAAUUAUAUAUAAAAAUGAAUAAAUAAACGGUAUAAUAUUAAUAGUGGUGGUACGGUAGGGUAUACCAUUGGUAAUAGUUUUAAGUAUCAAUAUUGUACCGAAAAUGUAUGGUACGGUAUAAAUACCGUACCAUUACCAAUGGUACAAAUUUUUUGGCACAACUUCUGUAUGGUAGGGUUGGUAAUUCGGUUAGUAUGGUAAUUUGGCAAAAAAUUUCAUCCCUCACAGGCAUUCAUCUAGAUAGAUGAACUUUUUUUUCCUAAUGUGUACCACUUAUGUUAUGAGCAUAAAGAAAAAUUUCUCUGAACAAGGAGCAAGUGGGAAUAAUAAAUCUGAACUAUAGCACGUACACGUAGAUAACAAGACGAGGAAAAGCAUCGAGGCAACGUUCUCCGAGAAGCUUUCAGGAACAAGAUCCGUUGACGACGAAGUAGACUUUCCUGUGCAUAGUCGACUUGGUGGGAAGUUUCCUCGUGGGGCCAUUUGAUUGGUGGGACAAAGACGUCCGUAAUUAUAAUUAUAAUGAUAGGAUUGAUUCCUCUACUCUAGAUUGAAUUGGAGCUGAAUGAUUGAAUUUGUAAGGCCCUGAUUGGGGGGAUUCCUCAUUGGUCAUCAUGGCUUUGAUUGAUUAAAUGGACAUAUAGCUAGCUUGAAUUGGAACUGAAUGAUUGCACUUAAACGGUCCUGAUUGGGCGGACUCCUCUUUGGUCAUCAUGGCUCUGAUUGAUAUCAGUAUAAAGAAAGACAUUGACCAUUCUGGUUUCCAACUCUCUCCAUCUACUGUUUUUGAGCAGAUCGGCUAAAGCUUGAAGAUGAACAAGUUGAUAAAGUUUGUUUAUUUUGUGUUUUUGAUUGAGUGUUUGAAUCGGUUUCUUUUUGGUAGGAUAGUAGAGAAAUUGAAAAAGAUAACUUGGAGAUUGGUUUCUGCUAUGCAAAUAAUGCAGCAGCCUUGAUUGAAUAAGAAGAGUGAUUUUUACACAAGAGUAUGGUGCAUUUCCAUCACCCAUACUUUCUACAAAAGGUGAUUGACAAGAGGCCUUAACAACCAUUAAGCCUUACUACUCCAGAUUACAUCUUAACCCUUCAUUUUGGGGUUAAAUGAUUUAAUCUGGAGUGUACAUUUGUCACUCACACACUUACACAAACAUUUAAAAACAAAACUAGCCGUUGGAGACUAGAACCCUUCAUUUUCUUUCUUCUUCUUCGAUGCAGAUGACAUCCUUUUGCUCGGGAGUAUCUUGCUGCCUUCGACUCCCCGACUCCAGGAGCUGGUUAGCUUCCAACACUCCCUUCUAAACUGCUUCUGGGAGUCAAUCCGAGCAAACCCCUCAGGUAAUUGAAUCUCUCCUUCGGUAGUGCUUUUGUGAAUAUGUCUGCGAUCUGAUCUUCUGUGCUGCAAUAGAUUAGCUUGAUUGUGUUGUCUUGCAAUGCUUCUCUGAUGAAAUGAUAUCUUCUCUUGAUGUGUUUUGUUCUCUGAUGAAAUACUGGGUUUUUAGUCAUGGCAAUUGCAGAGGUGUUGUCACACAGAAGUGGUGUGGCUUCAACUUGCAAUUCGCCAAAAUCUUUAAGUAUGAACCUUAGCCAAAUGGCUUGAGAUGUAGCUUCUGAUGCACUUACAUACUCUGCCUCGGCUGUGGACAGUGCAACACUUUGUUGCUUCACAGAGGCCCAUGAAAAAACCCCUGAUCCGAAAGUGAAAGCAUAGCCCGAUGUGCUUCUACUAUCAUCCUCACUGCCACCCCAGUCACUGUCACAGAAUCCAAUUAGAAUAGAUGACUUUCCCAUCUCAUAUUUGAUCCCAUAAUCAAGAGUUCCUUGCACAUAUCUUAGCACUCUCUUAGCCGUGCCCAUAUGUAUCUUGCUAGGAUUCUGCAUAAACCUAGAAAGUAGGCUUGCUGAGAACAUCAGAUCCGGCCUUGUUGCUGUUAGAUACAAUAGACUGCCAACAAUGCUUUUAUAGAGACUAGCAUCUGCAGGUUCACUUCCAUCCUCCUUCUUGAGCUUCUCAUUUGCAAUUAAGGGUGUAGAAAACUGGUUUGCAACCUUUCAAACCAAACUUUUCAAGCAAAGUUUCAGCAUACUUCUUUUGAUGAAUAAAAAUGCUACUUGCUUUUUGAAUUACCCCAAUGCCAAGAAAAUGAUGCAAGAGGCCUAGGUCAGUCAUCUCGUACCUCUUCAUCAUUUCUUCCUUGAACUCUUCCAUCAUUGCAGCAUCAUUUCCAGUGUAGACAACAUCAUCCACAUAGAUUGAGACAAUGAGUGUCUUGUUGUUGCUUUCUGUCUUGGUGUAGAGUGUAGCUUCACUAGGACUUUUCUGAAAUCCUUUCUCAAUGAAAUAUGAAUCAAUCUCACUGUACCAAGCUCUUGGAGCUUGUUUUAGGCCAUAAAGAGCCUUCCUCAACUUGUACACUUUUUCUGGAAACUCUUGAUUUGUGAACCCUUGAGGUUGUUCCACAAACACUUCCUCCUCUAGCACUCCAUUUAGAAAUGCAGAUUUAACAUCCAAUUGAUGCAACUUCCAACCCUUCUUGGCUGCUAGUGCUAUCAAGGUCCUUAUGGUGUCUAACCUUGCUACUGGAGCAAAGGUUUCAUUGAAGUCUACACCAGGUUUCUGUGAGUAACCUUUGGCCACUAACCUGGCCUUGUUCUUUUGCACAGAACCAUCUAGAUUUAGCUUCACUUUGUACACCCAUUUUACACCAAUCACAGGCUUCUCACUUGGUCGAUUUACAAGUUCCCAAGUGUCAUUCUUUUCUAUCAUUUCAAGCUCUUCCUUCAUUGCUUUCUUCCAAGCUUUGUCUUUCUCAGCUUCUUCAUACGUUUCUGGUUCUACUACACAGUAAUUACAUGUAGCAUAAAUCUCAUCCAGAUUUCUCAAUCUUACUGGAGUUGAACUAGGAGUUGUUGUCUGUGAUUGACUUGAUUGUGGACUCAUAGUAGCUUGCUGUGGAGUCCCUUGUAUGUCACCAUUAUCUGUGACUUCUUCUUGAACUGAGGUCUCUAUAGGCUCCCUUGUUUGCCUUUUGUUUAGGUCAAUUUGUAGAGAGACACUGUCCUUUUCCUCUACCAUUGUAUCCCAGUUCCACAUUGAGUCUUCAUCAAAGAUAAUAUCCCUUGAUAGGAUUAUCUUUUGAGUCAAUACAUUAUAAACUCUGUAUCCUUUCUCACUGGUACCAUAGCCUACAAAAACACCCUUGUUACUUGAUUUCUCCAACUUGUGCCUUAGUUGAUGAGGGAUGAGAUUGUAGCAUACUGAGCCAAACACUCUCAGAUGCUUCACAGAAGGCUUCCUUCCACUGAACACUUCAAAUGGAGUCUUCUUCUCCAAUGCCUUAGUAGGACACCUAUUCAAUAGAUACACUGAGGUGUGUUCACAGCUUCACCCCAAAAUUUAUAAGGCAUGUUCUUCUCAUGCAUCAUAGACUUAGCCAUUUCGACUAUAGUCCUAUUCUUCCUUUCUGCAAUCCCAUUCUGUUGUGGUGUAUAUGCCACAGUGAGUUGCUUCUCUAACCCUACAUCUUCACAAAAUACAUUGAACUCAUGUGAGGUGUACUCACCACCCCUAUCACUUCUUAGUCUUUUGAUUUGGUAUCCACUUUGCAAUUCCACCAUUGCCUUAAACUUCUUGAAUAUUGUGAAUACCUCAGACUUGAACCUCAUGAAAUACACACCACACAUCCGUGAAUAAUCAUCAUCAUGAAGGUUAGGAAAUACCUGUUUCCACUGAUUGUUGUUGUUCUCAUUGGUCCACACACAUCUGAGUGAAUCAAUUCGAGUGGCUUUGUUGCCCUCCAAGCCUUUCCAGCUUCAAAUGAAUCUCUGUGAUGCUUGCCAAACACACACCCUUCACAGAUUUCAUUGCAUUGAUCCAUUUUUUGGUAUACCUUGCACCAUUUCAUCCUUUUGCAGAUUUUGUAAGCUUGUCAUGUUUAAAUGACCAAGUCUCUUGUGCCAUAGUUUCAUAGAACUUGUCACACUUGCUUUCUUUGCCACUUCUUCUAAGUACUUCAGUACAAGUGGAAAGCUUCUGUUUUUCACUUCCACUUUGGUCACCAAGUUUGAUAGGGAUCUGUCAUCAUAGAUCUCAACCACAGUCCCCCCAAAGAGUAGGAAAUAGCCAUGCUCCAUCAUUUGACCCACACUAAGUAGAUUCUCAUCCAAUCCAGGCACUAGCAUCACCUCCCUUAUACAUCUUCUUCCUUUCUUGGUGUUGAUAACCAGAGUUCCUCUUCCAGUGGCUUUGACAAUGUUUCCAUCACCCAUUUUCACUUUUCCAGUGAAGUUUGUGUCGAUGUCAAUAAGUAAAGACUCAUGUGCAGUCAUGUGGUUGCUGCAGCCACUGUCAAUGUACCACACUUCAUUGUUUCUCUCCAUUUUUGCAUUGAAAGCACAGAACACAUUUGCUUCUUCUUCCACUUGAUUUGCACAGUUUACUUGUUGCACAUUCUUUGAUCUGCAGUCCUUCAUAAUGUGCCCAAACCUGUUGCAUUUGUGGCAUCUAGGCUUGUCCUUGAACCAACACUCUCCAAGGUGGAAUUUAUCACAGUGCUUACAUUGCUGCUUGGUUCUUGGACCUACAUUGGUGUUGCUGCCUUGGUUAGGUCUUGAGUUGUGAUACCCUUUUCCUUCCCAUUUCUUGCUUUUGCCCUUCCACUGUGGUUUCUGAUUGCUUGCACUGGCUUGACUGCUAGAUCCAACAUUGAGUGUUUGAAAGGCUUUCUCAGGUGCAGAGUCAGCAUGCCUCUCGAGCCUUUGAUCAAAAGCUCUUAAGGAUGCCAUCACCUCUUGUACACUGAGUGUUUCAGUGUCUUUGGUUUCUUCUAUAACACUCACUAUUGAAUCAUAGGGUUUAGUCAAACUAAUCAACAGUUUUUGGACAAUUCUUUCAUUAGGCAGUUCCUCACCAUAUGUUUUCAUCUUGUUUACAACAUCAUCAAACAGCCUAGUGAAGUAGUCUUUUAACAGCUCAUUUUUCCCUCAUUCUUGUAUACUCAAAAUCUCUUCUAAGGGACUGAAGUUUUACCUUUCUAACUUUGGUGUCUCCUCUGUAUUCUUGCUGUAAAACUUCCCAAGCUCCCUUUGCAGUCUCUUCAUUUGCUAUCCUCGGAAAAAUGGUGUUGUCUGAGACAGCACCUUGAAUGAUUCCAAGUGCUCUAGCAUCCUCCAUCCGAUUCUGCUUCAGUGUUUUGAGUUGUGUUUCUGUGAGAUCCUCCUCUAGAGCAUCGAUCUCCAUCUCAGGUAGUUCAUACCCAUGUUGAACCAUAUAUCCCAUAGAUCAUAGGAUUUGAAAAUGGUUGUCAUUCUUAUUCUCCAAAAAUCAUAAUUCUCCCCAUCAAAGACUGGAGCUUUUAGCUCACUGCUACUGCUGGAUCCUUUCAUUUCCAGAAUUGUUUGUUGAUUAUUGUUAUAGAAGACACUACGUUGGUGCUCCCAAAGAUCUUAUCUUGCACAGAUUACGCCCCGAAAGUUGUAAGAUCAAUAACAAAGCUCUGAGGCCAUGAUAAAGUUUGUUUAUUUUGUGUUUUUGAUUGAGUGUUUGAAUCGGUUUCUUUUUGGUAGGAUAGUAGAGAAAUUGAAAAAGAUAACUUGGAGAUUGGUUUCUGCUAUGCAAAUAAUGCAGCAGCCUUGAUUGAAUAAGAAGAGUGAUUUUACACAAGAGUAUGGUGCAUUUCCAUCACCCAUACUUUCUACAAAAGGUGAUUGACAAGAGGCCUUAACAACCAUUAAGCCUUACUACUCCAGAUUACAUCUUAACCCUUCAUUUUGGGGUUAAAUGAUUUAAUCUGGAGUGUACAUUUGUCACUCACACACUUACACAAACAUUUAAAAACAAAACUAGCCGUUGGAGACUAGAACCCUUCAUUUUCUUUCUUCUUCUUCGAUGCAGAUGACAUCCUUUUGCUCGGGAGUAUCUUGCUGCCUUCGACUCCCCGACUCCAGGAGCUGGUUAGCUUCCAACACAAGUAAGUCAACUUCAAACUCCUCGUAUCCUUAUUUUUCUUUGAAUCCUUUGUCGUUGAUUGAUCUUAUACUGUCUUGAUUAAGCAGACAUUGUUCUGAAAUGGCUGAAGGGUGUUUUUCAACAAGUAAAAGCUCUUACGGUUAAAUCUGGCAAAAGAAACUUACAAAACGCUUUUAGAUAGUGUAAGCUCUUUUCGGAGAAGCACUUGCUAUGGCUAGACUUUUACCAAACACAAUUUUAGCUCCAACUUUUCUAAAAACUGUUUUUAAAAAUAAAAUUGAGCAACCUCAGACCCGCCCAUGUCAACAUUCAAGUUUUCAAGUGCUUUUUCAAAGAGCACUUGAGUAUUUAAUAAACAUGUCUAAUCUGUUCAUAGUAAAAGAGAACUGCUUAUGAGUAGAGUGUUUCUUACGAGUACAAUGGCUUUAUAAUCGUCCUUAUAAUUUACCCAUGUGGAAUUUCAUUCUUACUAGUGUUUUGCUAAAGUGACUUCACUAGAAAUACGGCGAAAGUUCUUUAGAAAACACUUCUCCUACUCGUAUACAUUUUUAAGUUUUUCUUUCAAUAUAAUGAAAAACAUUUUUUAUCGUUAGAUUGACAUUGUUAGCUAUUUCAAAAGCAGUUUCAAACGUGUUUAUUAUUAUAUGGUUGGGUGUUAUUUGCUUACAUACUCCAUUUAACUUUGUUUCAAUAUUUUGUUGGUGAUGACAGUAUUAGCAGUGCUGGGCUUGAACUAGAAAAUGUGCUGGUGACUUCUCCUCCCCUGCACCAGUCAUGGGACGCUGUUCAGAAGCAAAAGCUCAACACAGCUCCUGAUCCGAAUGCACAAACGGCCUUAUAUGUUACUGAAACCAAGCACUCAAACACCACCAUCAUAUCUUUUCUUACUUCACCCGUCACACUUCAAGAUCAACAAGCGAUGAUUUCGUCGUUGACUCUCAGGGACAAAAAAUUUCCCCUCUUUGAGUUUUUGUGCACCAAAUACAACACAAGUUUCACCGUCAAUGAUUUGGCAAUCAAAUUCUUCGCCUUGAAUUACGACAACCUCAACCUCGAUCUUCUGAGAACAAAGGUGCAUAUUGUUGUCUCUCUGAUAACUGAUAGUGUUUAACCGCUUAGACUAUUAAUGUUAGUGAGAAACAUUUAAAAAUCAUGUUUAUAAUGUUAGAUUAUGUUAGCGUGAUACACAUACAAACCCCUCAUUAAUACUGUUAUAAGGGUGCAUUUGUUAUCUCGGACUUGACUAGCUUGCUUGGUUUGGACUAUGCAGGAUAAGAAUAGUGGGCUCAAACAAUUAAUUUCAAUUUUCUUUUAAUUUUUUUACUUCUCCCUCCACCUGUUACACACCUCACUCAAUAAAAUGUCCUACGAACACCAGAACUUCACAAUGCACUACGUGCAACGAACAUAAUUAUAUUUUCCACUUUGUAAUUGUGCAGAGACUUUCAUAAUUUUCUUUCAAAUUAACACUACCAAUCUUUAUUAGAACCAAAAAAUGGAAAAACUUAUCGAUUUGCACAAUUUACUAGAUUUUAAAAUUGCCAGAUACUUUUUAUGAAGGGAAAAAAAAUGAUGCGUGAACAACACUUCUCACAAAAAAAAAUAAUGAAAUAUAUAAAUACAUACCAAAGUAAAUGUUUGCACACACUAACAUGCAAUAUAUGCAGUUUUUCAUUUUGUCAAACAAAUACAACAUAGCACAUUAAAGACAUUUUGUAAAUCCUAUGGGCUAGUUAAUAUGGGCAACAACCUUGUGUUUGGUUGUCAAGGACUUAGCAGGAUCUUCGAAAUUGUUCCAUAACACUGAUCCGAAAUUGCAUUCUUUAAUCCCUGCUUGCAAAUGCAAAAGUGGUUAUCAAUCUCUCCCUACUACUGUAAAAGGGAGAUAAUGAUAGAACUAAUUCAAUGUGAUAAACUAUAAGCUUCAAUGAAAUCAAAUGACAGGAGAAAAUUAAUGCAAGUCACCACUUCUUGAGGAUGAAGAGGGAGAGCAUCGAUGAAUAUUUUAGUUCAAAUUAAGGGAUUUCUUCUAAGGAGAUUUAUAGGGUUACUUAUAUGCAAGAUGACAUUUAUGUAAACCUGUGUGGAUGACGGAGAACAUAUAGUUAAUAUAUUAUAGUUGAGAAAAGCUAUCUUUCUUCUUGUAGUUCAUUUGUAAAUUUAUAAGAAUACCUCAGGUUUAUGUAUUACCAUCACCCAGCUUUAAACCAUAUAAACCUGUGUGGAUGACUGAUUUUGUAAUGUAAAAGAUAGAAAAUCAAGAUGACGUUUAGGAGUCAAGAUAAGUGGGAAAGGAAUGCAAGAUGAGUGGAAGUCACAAAGCGGAUAGCCUUUUAUAUGGCCUCAAGGUUGAUAAAUUUACAAUGGUUAAGGAUGCAAAUCCGAUAUCUCCAUAAGUUUGAGUCAGUAGAGGCACUUGAAAAUAGAAUGAUAAGAUGGUAACUUCAUUCUGGUUAAUCGAAUGUUUUAGCUAGCAGCAAGUGGGUCAAGGCUCGAUGCCAAAGUCAUAAACUACGGUUUUAAAGCACAUAUCAGCCACCAAAACCCAGAGUACUCAUGUCAAAUAUUAACAGCCAAAACCCUGAGUACACACAAUAAACUAUAAUUCAUUAAUGGGAAUGAAACAUCUGAGAAAAUGUGAACUCAACAACCAAAACCCAGUGUACCCAUGUCAAAUAUUAACAACAAAGGAAUUUAUGUAUGUAUGUCAAGAAUCAAACAAAAAAUUAUCACCCAAAAUAAAAAUCAAUCAGGGCUGCUUUAUGUAUUAGGAAGCCCAGAACCACUAUUCUAAGUGUUAGGCAGUUGGCCAUCACCCCGAUUAAUGCCUAGACGUUUAAAAAUUAAAAAAGGGUGCCUUGACUUGUUGAGGCACCCUCCUCGACCGCCUAACCCGUCCAGACCUGCCUAGGCAUCCGCCAAGGUCACGACUCACUUAAACAGAAAAAAUAUCACUUUCAUUUUGCAUUUUAUUUUUUCAAUAAAUUGUAAGAUUUGUUGCAUACUUAAAUGAACACACAUUUUAUCCUUGUUCCCCAUGAUUUCAUUAUGUUCCAAUACUUCAUAAUAUAUAUGUCAUUCUAUUUUGUAGUUUAUGAUGAAAUUAUAUAUAUUUUAAGUAUAAAUAGGCACUUAUUUACACGAAAUAUAAUAGAUUUUACUUAAAUCCGCCUAGUCCGCCUAGGCCCCGUCUAGCCGCCUAGGUUCUUGGUCCAAACCUGCCGCCCGACUAGCGCCUAGCGUCUUUUAGAACCUUGCCCAGAACAAUAUAAAAAAACGGCUAUGGGUUAUAGAUCAGAAAAUGGUGCUUUUGCAUGCUCAAAAGAUUGUUAAAAGGCCAUAAAAUGGUGAUUUUUAUGUAACCAAAUCGGAGAAUUUUGGAUAAGAUUAAACAACAAUAAGCAGGGAACAAAGAAAAAAUUGCAAUCAACUUACAAAAACUUAGCAAUUAGUUCACAGAAGGAAAAGUAGCAGAUAAAUUGGGUAGCAAUCAAUUAAAAAACACACCCAAUCACAGAACACAAAUGUACACGCACCCAAUUUUUGUGCUAGAAAUUCAAAAAAUUUAGAGAUUUCGCACGCAAACAACGAAAUCGAUCAAAACCCAAUAAUAAUUACGAUCUGCAAAACAAAAUUGAAGAAAUUGAUUGUUAGAUUCAGAAUUUACCAGACAGGACAAGGAUGAAGGAGCGGGACGAGGAUGAGGGAGAAGAUCGAGCGUGACAAGGAUGGGCGAGCAGGACCAGGACGAGCGAGCAACUAUCUCGAAGAUGGUCUUAGCAAUCCGGUGAUAUUGGGGUUCUCGCUAAGAACUUCUAGUGAAGCGGUUUGUUGGAGCGAGUCCGACUUAAUCCCAUUAAACUUAAUGUCUAACAAACACAAUAUUACACUAACAAUUAGUCAUAUUUAGUUCAAUGAGAGCUAGUGAGCCUAAACAAACACACCUUAAGAGCUUAAUGUAGUAACAGUUGAGUCUCUUCCCCUUUUAAAGAAAAUUAAUAAAAAAUGCUUUAAAACUUUGCAUUUUAAUCAAAAAUCAUUUAGUAACUUUAUUUAAUGAGAAAGAUAAAAAAAUAAAAAAUUUAAACAUGCAUGUGCCCAGCCCGCGUCCCCCCCCCCCCCCCAAUAUAACCAAAUAAGAAAAAGUAAAUGAAAACACACUACACAUACAUAUGAUAUUAUGUAUGAAUUAGCUAAUUGUAACAACGAUGACACCUAUUUUUAGGCCUUUGACAAAAUAAGCAAACACACGUCUAGUGCUAUAAUCUCGUAAGUUUCAUAAACAAUGAAGUAUUGUUAAGUUUCAUAAACAAUGUAGUACAGUUAAGUUUCAUAAACAGUGUAGUAAGUUUCAUAAAUAAUGUGUAUGUGGACGCACGGGUCCCCCGCGUUAGUUUUUCUUUUUAAAAAAAUUAUGUCUUUUUCAUUAAAAUUUAAAGUUCUUUUGUCUUUUUUAUUAAAAUUUAAGAGUUUUUCAUUAAUAUUUAAGUAUUUUUCAUUAAAUAAAGUUAUAGCAUGAUUUUUUGUUGAAAUAAAUUUAGUCAAAUGCCUUUUCAUGAAAGUUCCCUUUCUUUAUUGUUUCAAAACCGAGUUUUAAGUAUUUUUUUCUAAUAUGAAUGAAGUUCUGAGGACCUUAUUCGUAGAGACGUCUCCGAACUGAUUAAAUAGCAGUUCAGUAAUUGACUAACUUUUAUGUAAUAUUUCAGCUGGUAGAAAGCAGCAAAUCCAACUCAUUGGUACUUGUCACUGGACAAUCUUUUGGAGGCGCUGUAGCUACCCUUUUCACCUUAUGGCUGCUAGAAAGCCUCGACUUAUCGAAAGUGAAACGUCCCCUUUGCAUCGCUUUUGGUUCACCCUUGAUCGGUGACAAACAAUUCGGACAAUGUGUGUUGCAAUUCCCAUUGUGGAGUUCUUGCUUCUUGAAUGUAGCCUCCAUCGAUGAUCCUGUACUUCAAUUCUUCCUAACCGCUUCGCAAGCGAGUGGUUAUAAGCCUUUCGGAACAUUCCUACUGUGCUCCUCUUCGGGUGGUUCUUGCUUUGAGGACCCUGAUGCCAUUUUGCAACUAUUGGUGGAAACCAGCUCUCGGUGUGCCCAAAAUCCAGGUCUGAAUUCAGGGAUUCAGUUGUUCGAUUACGGAAAGAUUUUGAAUGAUCUCAAGACUAAGGCAUUGUCUAGAGAUGUCUUUGAGUUGGUUGAAGAGGAUAGAGUUCCACUUAAAGCUGGAAUUAAAACACAGUUGGCAGCAAUAUUAGGAGUUCUCAGCUCACAGGUAUCAAACUUUCAACAGAAAUAUCUGAUUUGAUGAUGAUUUUGGGAAAUGGGUUCCGCACAAACCUGUUUAUUUCCAUCUCUUGAUUCUCCUUUGAUUUAUUUAAUCCAAAGACUAGAAAUAAACACAGGUGUGCAGGGGGGGAAUAUGAGAUUGCGGAAAUCACAUCCCAUGUUUACUUCUAGCUACUAACUUUUCUCUCAACUCCUUUUGUAAAAGUCAUUGCAGCAGCAACAACCCAACAUAGAAUUCGAAAGUCUGAUGAAAAAGAUGGUCACUCACGAACGUAAACUAGCGAUGCAGAAGAUGAAGGUUUACAGUUCCUCCUUGAAACUGAAUGAGAUUGAAAAGUACAUGGCCUACAUGGAAUGGUACAAGGAGGAGUCCAAAGACAUGGGAAUUGGAUACUAUGACAGGUACAAAAACUUGCGCUAUGCGAGUGACCUGAAUGCCAAAGAGUACAAGAAGAGGCUCUCGAAUUACUGGGAGGACACGGUUGCAGAAGCUGAGAGCAAGCCCCAGAAAGAAGGAGCCGCAAUGCCUGCCCCUUUUCUUUUUGCUGGUACGAAUUACAGAAAGAUGAUCGAACCGCUUUGCAUUGCAGAGUACUACA